rnacentral:lncRNA from 1 species
UUUUUUUUUUUUUUGAAAUGUUUGAUUCAAAAGAUUUUCAUAUUGGUUUCAACAAAAAAAAAACUAUAGCAAGGAACUCGUCCCUUAACAUAAAUGGAUCGAAACUUUUUGCGGCAUGUCCAUGCCUCAUUAAUUAAUCACUUUAAAUCUUUUGUCGUUAUCCACAAUUAUCAGUUAAUUAAAUUUGCUUUGGUAAGCAAUAUCAUUUAUCCCCUUUAUCAAGACCAAAUAAAAUUAAUUUUAAACUAUCCACUAUACAUUUCUUUUAGGUACAUAAUUAUUAUCCAAUAAAGUAGUUCAAAAAAUCUUAAACUAAUAACAUCAAACAUAUUAGUUCAGUGAAUAUAAAUUUUCCUAAUCAAAAUGAAGGGAAGCAAUGACACAAUCUUAUGAGAUAAAUAUCACAGACCAAACUAGAUGAACAAAACGCUUCCAAAUUUAAAUUAGGACAUCGAUUAUCACUUCCUGCGUAAAACGAAAUUCUUGUCACAUAUUAAGUAAUCAUUUUUCGAAUAAAGCAGAUGCAUUUUCACAUACUUGAAUUAGCACUUUGAUGUGAGACAAAAAUAAAAUCAACAUAAAACAAACAUAUGAUUCCAAGCCAUUGCCAACGCAAAAUCUUAAACUAAUAACUUGACGCCAGAGAACCAGAAUCAUGCCUGAUCCUCAGAGAUCAGUAGAGAACCUCACUAAAAAAAAAAGACCCAGACACUNNNNNNNNNNNNNNNNNNNNNNNNNNNNNNNNNNNNNNNNNNNNNNNNNNNNNNNNNNNNNNNNNNNNNNNNNNNNNNNNNNNNNNNNNNNNNNNNNNNNNNNNNNNNNNNNNNNNNNNNNNNNNNNNNNNNNNNNNNNNNNNNNNNNNNNNNNNNNNNNNNNNNNNNNNNNNNNNNNNNNNNNNNNNNNNNNNNNNNNNNNNNNNNNNNNNNNNNNNNNNNNNNNNNNNNNNNNNNNNNNNNNNNNNNNNNNNNNNNNNNNNNNNNNNNNNNNNNNNNNNNNNNNNNNNNNNNNNNNNNNNNNNNNNNNNNNNNNNNNNNNNNNNNNNNNNNNNNNNNNNNNNNNNNNNNNNNNNNNNNNNNNNNNNNNNNNNNNNNNNNNNNNNNNNNNNNNNNNNNNNNNNNNNNNNNNNNNNNNNNNNNNNNNNNNNNNNNNNNNNNNNNNNNNNNNNNNNNNNNNNNNNNNNNNNNNNNNNNNNNNNNNNNNNNNNNNNNNNNNNNNNNNNNNNNNNNNGAACAGAGAGCAGCUGGGUUUGGUACGAGAUUUCGUCCAAAAUCCCCGAAAAUUAGGACGAGGGAGAAAGCGCGGACGGUUUCGAUCAAACCCACCGCCUUUGCGCUCGACGUGGCGUCCAUCCACGCGAGUCAAAGGGCGAUUUUUGCGGCUGCAAGGACAGAAGAUUUCAGGCGGCUCUGCUCUGCUGUACGAGGCAGAAAAAGGGGAAGAAGACGUGAUCGUACGAGUGUGAACUCACCAUGUACUGCUUCGUCUCUUUGUGAACGUUGGUGCUGCUUUCCGUCAUCGCGUGAAGCGCGUACAGGCGUCGCUUGGAAUCGUUUGGCUGCUGUUAGUCGUGAAAUAGGAGCAAGGAAUUAAUGGGUUCCUUUUGCUGGUCGAAAUUGGGCCGGGUCUGGGAAUUACAAGGGUGGGAUUUGCUGGAAAUUAACAUGGGGUGGGCUGGGUCGGUUCAGGGAGGGAUUUGGGCUGAAAAUGGCCCAAUACUUGGUACUUUAAAGGUUUUAAAAAAAAAAGGUAAAAGGAGAUGGCUAAAAUUGUUAAUAAGGUAUAGCCACAUUGAAUUUAAUUUGCGACUUCGGCUAAAAUCUAAAUAAGAUAAAUUAUCUAAUUAGUUAACAAACUUCUUAAUUUUAACGACAUUAAUUAAUUUAACUAAAACAUAAUUAAAUUAGAUGCAAAUUAAUUAACUUGACAUUACAACUAUAACUUAGACCAAACUAAAAUUAAUAAAACAUUUAACUUGAAAAUGUGAGAUCUUUGGUGCUGAUUAUUAAAUAUUUAUAUAAAAAGAAAACCAAACUAAUAAUAUAUAAUCGUACAAAGCAAAUUUAUUAUUCAAAAGUUAUAAAAUUUACACGGCUAUAUAUAUAUAUAUUUAUUUUUUAAAACUUGAAGAUUGUAACUAUAAUCUAAGCUAAAGUGAAUUAAUAAGACAUUCCACUAAAAUGUAACGUCUUAGGAGGUGAUUUUUAUAAAAUAUACUAAUUAGGUAAAAACAUAUUUAAUAUCUAAAAUAUUGCGGAAAUGACUAAAAAUCAUCAAAACCUAUAAAACAAUUUAAAUUUUAUAAGACUAAUUAUUUCAAAUCGUUUGAAAUUAAGAAGUUCGAAAAUUAAAUAUGUCGUGGAGGGUAAAAAUUGGGUGUCAACAGACGGAAUCAGGUUGUUACACUCUCCUAAUAAGCCCACUGGCAUAUUGGUGAUGUCUUUAGGUUGAUAUUUAGUUUUUAUUCUGAUUAGGAGAAAUCAUUAUUCUUUAUUAGUUUAUUCUUUUCUUAUCAACUAUUAUGAUUAAGAGAAGAUAAUUAUUCUUUAUUAGUUGAUUCUUUCCUUGUUAGCGGGUUUGAUCAUGUAUAAAUAUAUAUUGAAAAAAUGGCCAAAUGACCCCCCAAUCUAUAACCGGAUUUCCAACUACACACUUAUACUUCACGGGGGUCCUAUUAUCCCCCUGAGCUAUUUUAAAAUGGAAUUAUUUCCUCCCUGAAAUGCCAUUGAAAUGCCAUUACCAGGCAUUUGUCUUGUGGUGAAAUACACGCACUUGACACGUGUAUUUCACCAUUUAAUGAUUUCUUUUUAAAAAAAAGUUCACCUCCUUCCUCUUUCUUUCUCUCCCAAUCAAUUCUUCAACCCUAACUAUACUAAACACCAUUUUUUACCUCAAUAAAUUUCUAUAUCUCUAACAUUUUAUAAAAACGAAAAUUCAACUCACUUUUUCAUUUACUCCGAAUUUCUAGAGUCUAGAAGAUAACGGUCCUAGUUAAUCAAAUCUUUCAUUCAACUAAUUCAACAAUUUUCCACAUUUUUUUACAUUUAGUUCGAUUUUCUUUCUUAGACAAUUUCAUAUACACAUUAAAUGGGUCAUGAACAUUCGAGAUCAAAUUCAUCCAUUGAAGAUUCCGCCGACAACUUAAAAUAAUUGUGAAUGAGAAGACCAAUUUGUAACACCAAUUUGAGAAACCUCUCUCUCUCUCUCUCUUCCCAUUCUUUAUUAUUUCUCCCUACUUAAAAUUUUCAUGAUUAAUUUAUAAUUUGAGUUUUUGAUUUUGAUUCUAAUGGAUUUUAGGAGAAUAUGUAGGAUCCUUCUUUUAAAAUGUAGAAGAAAUUGUUUUGUUUCGGUUUCUUUGUUUAAGUUUGAAAAUAUUCUUUAAAUAAACAAUUACUUCACUUUGAUUUUGUUACUCUUGAAUCCAUCACUUUAAAAAAUAAUAAUUAAUGGGUAAGUUUUUUUAAAAUAAAUUUAAUUUGUUAGAUAUGUUCUAAAUAAGUUUAUUAAAAGAUUAUUUAUUCAUUAAAUGCAUUUGUUGUUGAUAAUUUUUAUUCCAAACAUCCAUUGAAAAAGUUUCAACAAUGGUAAUGGUGAAAAAUGUUGUAUAGAUAAAUAAGAAGAAAGAAAGAGAAAGAAAAAAGAAAAUUAGAAAAAAAAAUGAAAAUUUAAAAAAAAUAGGCAACUCACUCUCUAUGCCAACUCAGCAAUUAAGGGGUUAUUUAUUCCAUUUUAAAGUAGUUCAGGGGGAUAAUAGGACUCCCACGGAGAAUAGGUGUGUAGUUGGAAAUCCGGUAAUAGGUUGGGGGGUCAUUUGACCAUUUUCUCAAUAUAUAUUCAUAUCAAUAAAGUGAAACAAUUGUUGUCUCCUAAAUUGAAGUUUUGAGUUAUUUCUUCAAAUUUUGACUAAAAACAAAAAUUUCAUAGCAGCAAACUUAAAUGUAAAAAAUACCUAUAAUGAUUGGGAUACUUAGGUGAAAUAUCAAUACACCUUUGAAUUACACUUAGUUGAGUGACCAUCUGAAAAUUUUCUCUUUGGAAAUUACAACAACAACAUCUCCGGUGAAAUCCCAUUACAUGGGGUCUAGGGAGGGUAGAAUGUACGCACGCACGCACACCUUACCAAUGCCUUGUGGAGGUAUGUAGAGACUAGAGAGUCUUUGGAAAUUAGAUGGGAAAGAUAUACUUGCAAUGUAUAUGCACUUGUCAAGAAUAGUAUGCAUGGUAGAACCAGAAGUUGAAAUAGUGGAGUAAUUAUUCUUAGUUUUUAGUGGGUAAUCUAAUUUGUAUUGGGGGGAAAGAAGUUUGUAUACAUGGUAGUAUUGGAAAUUAGGUUGUGGCAUAUAAGAUUGGGAAAAAGUAUCCAUAAUGAUUCCAUUGUCAAAUGGCCGGAUCGAAGAUUAGCCGGUUUCCUUGGCCUCGGCUCAUUACUACGAUUAUAGGGUGGUUGUUAUCAGAGAAAAAGGAGGGAACUCGUGGCCCAAAGUCAGUGAAGGACUCGUGUCCCAAAGGACACAUACAACUGAUAUGUCUGUCUGUAUGAGAUCCUGCAGGAAUAUUAGCUGGCACUAAAAAAUUGUGGAGUAUUUCUAUUGGACAUAGUAAUUUAGGGCACGAGUGGAGCCUUCUGAGCAACGUUGCCAAUUAUGCUAAAUAUGAAAGUGAACUUCAUCAUCUUCGUUUGUUCAGAGAUGAUGAGAGUACUUGUUUCAAGGGAAGAGUAUAGCAAAAAUAUGUGGAGGGUUGCCUCUCUUCAUUGUAUUAGUUGCUGGUGUUCGUUCUCAACUAAUAAAAGUAGAAUUGUGGAAGGAAAUAGAAGAAAGUCUAGGUUUGCUGAAUAUUGGUAGCUUGGAAGAGAGCAUGUCUAUAAUCGGAUUCAGUUGUAGGAAUUUACCGCACCAGCUGAAGCUCUAUUUUGGAGGACUUUUGAAGGGAAAGGAUAUUCAUGUCUCAAAAUUUUCUCUAGAAGAUGCUGCAGAAUGCCUCUUGGAAGAUCUUAUUAGUAGAAAUUUAGUGAUGGACGGAGAAGAGACCCAACGGAAAGCUUAAAACAUGUCACGUUCAUGAUCUGUUCAGAAUUUCCUUCUUCAGAUCAAUAGGUAUUAUUGUUUAUAUCAACGCUCAUUUUCAUUAUUUUCUCUUUAAACAGAUUCACCGGAGAGGAUACAUUUCCUGAAAUUUCUAUGGAAUACCGGUUGUUUGUUCAUACUUCUGAGGAUCAGAUUGAUCUGUGGCAGCCAUCUCGCUCAAGUGUUAUUCAAUGUGAUUGAUUCAGAUAACUUGUUUGACAGCCUCGUAACAUCUCUUUCAUCUUUGACAGCUUCAAACUUGUGAAAUACAAUUUCUAAUUCAUUUGAAGUAUUUUGCUGCUAAAACUAGUGGUAAGAGGAUCAGGGGGAGAGAUGAUAUUACCUUCUUCUACUCUAAAGAUGAUCAAAUUGAGGCAUUUACUUACUUGUGAAGAAUCGUGCUUUGCCUGAGAACACGGGUGAAUCACUUUCCAAUUCUCAAUUAGAUAAUUAGGAAACCUUUUUCACUCCACAUCUUUCUUACGGUGAAGAUACAGAGAUGAUAUUGAGAAAGAUGCCAAAAUUGAGAAAGCUGAAUUGCAUAUUUUCGGGGGCAUUUGGUUAUUCAGACAAAGUGAAGGGUAGGUGUGUUUGUUUUCCGAGAUUAGAGUUUCUAAGUCACUUCAAGCUUGUUUCCAACAGCUAUCCAGCUAAACUUCCACAUGUCUUCAGUUUUCCCUCAAAACUUAGGGAAUUGACUCUGUCAAAGUUUCAUCUGCCAUGGAGCCAAAUCUCGAGCAUUGGAGAUUCUAAAGGUACUUCUCAGAGCCUUUGAAGGGCAUGAAUGGGAAGUGAAAGAUUCAGAAUUCCCUGAACUCAAAUACUUAGAAUUAGACGACCUCAACAUUGCACAUUCGUCCGUCUCCGAGGAUGCUUGAACCUUUGGUUUUAACCAAAUGUAAGUGGCUUGAGAAAAUCCUAUCUAUCUCAUUUUGAUGACAUUGUAUCUCUAAAAAGCAUUGAAGUAAAUUAAACCGGUGCAGCUGGUAUGUUGCUAGUUCAGCCGGCCAGGAACUUCAAGCGAUUCAGUGUGAUGAAAUGACAAAUGAUAUGUUCAAAGUUACAAUACAGCCUCCUGAUUGGGAUAGAAAUUCAUCUCCUUGGCUCGUUAUCUGGUAUGUUCAUGUCAUAUUCAUCUGAGAACAUUAUUUCCACUCAUUCCAAUUACCUGCUCUUUAGUGAAAAGAAGGGGAAAAAAGUAGCAAUUUAUAUAUGUGCUAUAUCCUUGAAUCUUAAGUAUCCUUUCUUGCUCUGUAAUCCAUUUCUCAGUAAAUGUUUCAUUCAGGCUAGCAAACAGAAGAUGGAGGAGGAACUCAGCUAGUUGAAGGAUCUUCAGCAAUAAGACAUGUGUUUGAAUAAAUUUCAACUCUUAGUGAAACGUGUAAUGAAUUUAUGAGCAAGAGCUCAUGUCCUUUUUCUGAGCUUUGUGGAACUAUUAGAAAUGUGAAACUAUUGUUAAAAUAAAUUGCACUUAAAAAUUUAAACAUUCCUUUUAAACCAAGUGGGUGUUACUUAUCUUGAAAACUAGUCCUCUCGCAUGUGUGUUGUACGUGUAUGUCAAUUGUUUAUCUAGAUCAAUAUAACACCAAUUAUCCCAUGACUACCACUAGUGCAUUGACUUGAGCGAUGUUCUAUUCAACAAUUAAUGACUCAAACCAUUUUAGUCGCCAGAGAAAAAUAUGUUCAGCCAUCAUCCCAGUAGGAAAAGCUCAGUGAUCAAAAGAUUAUUAUGAAUCAAAAUGUGCUAUUUCAUUUGAGACGACUCUUCUGUAUCAAAAGAGUGGAUGUUAAAGAAAGAAGUCAGAACUAUUAAACUAAACCAAGAAUGUUUUAUCCAAUUUGGAGUUUCAUUUGCCAUCACAAUGUCGAUGGUUAUGAAACACAGAGAUAAACAACAAGGGAAAAGAAGACCUUAUUAAAAGUCCAUGCCUAGAAAUCAUCUUAUACCAAUAUUUACGCUGCAAUUGAAGGAAAAACUGUCAUAAGGCAGCGUAGUCUGGAUGGAUUCACUCGUAUAAUAUUAUAACAAGCAGGAAUUAAAAGCACAAACUCCUAUUCAUCAUUAACUUAUUUAAAAUAUCUGGCCCUAUGCAUUCAAAAAUACUACCAAGCAGGAAUUAAAAGCACAAACUCCUAAUCAUCAUUAACUUAUUUAAAAUAUCUGGCCCUAUGCCUUCAAAAAUACUACUAACUAUUUACACCAGAUCUCUCUCUGCAACAUGAAUUGCACUGAGUGCUUCAAUCACAGACAGUAUAAGCAACAGAAUCAAAAUUGAAGGAAGACAUAACAAGAUCCAUACUUUAACAAAAAAACUGAUAUUGCAAAACACUACAUCUAUCUGCUCCAGUACUGUGAUAAAGAAUUGGAAGAGGUUACUGCAAGUGAGGAAGAAGAGAAUGGACUAGGAGUACUUUCUUGUGCCAAUCCAUAAGAUGAGAAAGCCGGUCCGGCCUCACUCACUUGGCUUUUUUUUGCAGUAAUUACAUAUUAUUAUUUUCAAUUUGGGAGAUGCCCGAGGGAACCCCCUUAACUCCUCUGAGAUUUUCAAGUAUUGGCUUUCAUUAACACUUUCAUCUACUAAGAGGAUAGUCUUCAGGAGUAGAGGUGCAGAGCGAAGUAUAAACCUUACAAAGAGCAAUUCAGGUUUUAAGCCACGGAAUGCUGCUAUUUUCAAUUUUUGAAGCUUGUUGAAUUCUUGUGUACCAUAGGCUGGUCCUUUGAAAUGAUUUACAUCUUCUUCCAUGCCACCUUUAAUUUCCGAGCUCCACUAUAGGUAUUAUAAAAGUAAAAAUCAGUAACAUUUACAGCUCUUUACACAGAAUUAAGAAGAGUAAUAACUCGUGAACUCAAUAACUUACCACGUCCAAUUUAAGGUCCUUCACAUUGGGAGUACUUGUUAGAAUUCUUAGAAUGGAAGAUACUUGAUCCUCAUCAUCAAAAUCAAUAUAUGAACGAACAAACUUCACAUUGUCGAGGCGUGUGGGGAGCCUCUCUACUUCAGUACCAGAAGCAAAAGACUAGAGUAAAACAGUCAACCACAAAAGAGUAACAUUAAAUAUUACAAAUAUAUGCAACAAUCUUGGCUGUGGAAUGCAAAAAUAUAGAAAUUUUGCAGCUUACCUUGAGGUAGGAACUGUCCAUAUGAAUAUUACUAACUUGAGGGCAACAACUAAGAAGAUUGGUCAAGUUCAUAACUUUACUUUGAUGUUCUCUUGAUGCAAAUAUAAUUGUAGUCAGAUUCCGACAGUCCAAAAAAUUAUCCAAGUUAAGGGUAUUAGGGCCAAUAUUAUAGAAAUUCAAAUACCAAAGUUUUGGAGCAUAUAUUUUCAAGUGAUAAAGACCCUGGCAAGAUCGAAAAUGAAGCUUCAGAAGGUUUGGCAUCCACAAAAUAGAAGUUUCAUCAUGGCGUACGAGGACUAGAUUUAAUUUAAGGUAUUUGAGUUUGUGGAAACCCCUAAAGUUGCCUGGUAGCCUGCAAACGCAUUUGGACAGGUACAACCUUUCGAGUUCUAUAGCAUACAUGAAGGAAGGCAAUUUAUAAGGAACAUUCUUUGUAUUAUGAAGGGUGAGAUCCUUGACACCAUUUUUUGACAAGAAAAGCAUCCAUUCACUGAUAACUGAGUGCCGCAAAGAAGGCAGUGAAGAAAUAUUCAAAAAGAAUGUCUUAAUGGGUCCAUAGUGCUGCGACAGAAUUGUAUUAAUGAUGUCUAUUAAUGUGUUUAACGGCAUGCUCUGGCAAAACUGUGCAGAAAUUACAAGUUCAGGGAUUGAGGGCCAAACAUGUCUCCACACAGUAGACAAAACGCUCAUUCUUGCGGCAUCGUCAAUAAGCAAAUUCUGCUGAAUCUGGUGUUUUACAUUAAUCGGAAGAUCGCUAAGCCUAUCAACUCUGUCCCCUUCAACUUUAAGUCUCUUAAGCAUUGCCAUUCUGUGUUCUGAUAACUAAAAAAAGUCAGAAUAGUUUAGUUUCUUCAAAGUUUACCACAAUAAGAUUUAAUAUUUGUUGAAUUUUUUUUACCACAAUACGCAUCCAGAAUCAGAUUUACCCACAUUAAGCAUUAAAAAUUGCAUAUUUUUGGAUCUAAUAAAAAAGAUUACAGAUUUUUGGGCAAUUAUUUCGAUCUAAUAUCAGGAUAAGAAAACGAUAAUUAACAUAAUCAUAUUAUACCAUGAGAGUUCACAGCGAAGUUAAGAGAAGAGAAAAACCUAGGAUUAGAUGAAUGCUUGAGCAGUUGCGGUAGGAAUUUAAUUAGCAUAUUGAUUCUAAUUAGAGUUGUAUAUGAGCUGGUCCACUCUUAUUCGGGCUAAUUCGGACUUUGACCAGGUUGGGCUGACCCAUUUUUUUUUGUGGAUCAGAAAACAAUCCGCCCAAUUCAUAAGUACGUGGGCUACGGGCUGUGCGGACCAACCCACUUUUUAAAAAAAAAUAUUUUUUAUAUUUUUUAAAUUAAUUUAUAAUUCUAAUUAGAGUUGUAUAUGUCAAGGGUGAGAUCCGUGACACCAUUUGACAAGAAAAGCAUUCAUUCAAUCACGGGUGGACGCGUACAUUCCAACAAAUACCAGUUGUUAGUUCAUUCUUCUGAGGAUCAGAUUGAUCUGUGGCAGCCAUCUCACUCAAAUGUGGAGUGUUUUGUACAAGCCAAUAAGAAUACAACCUCUUGAUUGGGAUAAAAAUUCAUCUCAUUAACUCGUUAUCUGGUAUGUCAUAUUCAUCUAAGAACAUUAUUUCCACUCAUCCCUUGAAUCAAAGUUUCCUUUCUUGCUUUGUAAUCCAUUUUCUCAGUGAAUGUUCCAUUCAGGCUUGCAUACAGAAGAUGGAGGGGGACCUCAGCUAGUUGAAGGAUCAUCGGCAAUAAGCCAAGUGUUUGAAUAAAUUUCAAUUCUUAGUGAUUCGUGUGAAACUAGUAAUGCAUUUAUGAGCAAGAGCUAAUGUCCUUUUUCUGAACUUUGUGGAACUAUUGGAAAUGUGAAACUAUUGUUAUCCAUGUGCUGUCAAAUAAAUUGCACUUUACAAUUUAAACAUUCCUUUUAAACCAAGUGGGUGUUACUAAUCUUGAAAACUAGUCCUCUUGCAUGUGUGUUGUACGUGUAUGUAUGGGGACUUGUUUAUCUAGAUCAAGAUGAUAUAACACAACAAUUAGCCCAUGACUAAUCACCAAUCAGACUAGUGCAUUGACUUAAGUGAUGUUCUAUUCAACAAUUAAUGACUCAAACCAUUUUAGUCGCCACAGAAAAAUAUGUUCAGCCAUCAUCCCAGUAGGAAAAGUUCGGUGAUCAAAAGUAGUUGUUUGUUCAUUCUUUUGAGGAUCAGAUUGAGUUGUGGCAGCCAUCUCGCACAAAAGUUCGUUCUUUGUUAUUCAAUGUAAUUGAUUCAGAUAACUUAUUACGGUCGCGUAAUGUCUCCUACAUGUUUGACAGCUUCAAACUUGUUAAGGUGUUGGAUUUGGAAUCUGUAAAGGGGCCGAUCUUUGAACACAAAUAGUUCACUGAUGUAACCCGCUUUGGCAGCCAACAACCUUGUCGACUUCAACCUUCCAACACUUAGCCAAAUUUAGGACUGUUUUGGUGUUAACUCCAAAAAUAGGCAGCAACAUUUUUGAGACUAACUCUUGGACAUUUUAAGCAACAUAAAACAGUAGACGACAAUAUAAUUAAAGCCACGAAAAUAUAAAAUGAGACAAAGGCAACCAGCUUUACAGAAAACUUAAUUUCCAACUUGUAUUAAUAAAGUGAAUACAAGAACACUCUCAAAUCGUACCAACCUUGGCACUUUAAGAUCACCCUAGACCUUAACUUAGAUUUGACACUCUAAUUAGUAUUCCCUAAUACUUAGAACAAUCAAACCCGAAAUUACACCAUAGGCAGCCUGCACAUUUAUAAUACUGUGCAUCCAACUACCGACAAGUGGCGUAAUUAGAAUAAAACACUUGUUGGCCUUAGCCUGAUCCUUUCCUAUGUAGUUGACAACCCACAACUACUUGGUAUAUUCUACUAUAAGAUCACCCUAGACCUUAACUUAGAUUUGACACUCUAAUUAGUAUUCCCUAAUACUUAGAACAAUCAAACCCGAAAUUACACCAUAGGCAGCCUGCACAUUUAUAAUACUGUGCAUCCAACUACCGACAAGUGGCGUAAUUAGAAUAAAACACUUGUUGGCCUUAGCCUGAUCCUUUCCUAUGUAGUUGACAACCCACAACUACUUGGUAUAUUCAAAAUAAUUCAAACAAGGCGCCAAAACCAAGCUCUACACGAAAUGGGAUAAUGAUGCACUUUUUAGUAACCGCCGGUCAUGUGUUUGGCUUUGCUUGCCUUUUGGACGAGCUCUUCCCAUGUUUAACACUGUCAUACUUAGCCUUUUCAGCCUUGCAUUUUUCCCACUCAAUGCUGCCACACCAAGGUCACAAAUCUAUGGCAUUGCUUCAUCCCGCGUUGGCAUCAAAGCUCUUUCAUUGAUGCCUUAGUCUUGCUGGUCAUUUGCCCUAGUUCUUUCUUUGAAUAUCAACGCUAUGCCCACACAACAUUGUUAAGAUUUCAUCUUGUCAAGUCCUCACCAAGCUGCCUUGUCUUCAAAUCCUUGGUCCUCACUUGUUGCUUCGAAAUCAAGCCAUGGUGCCAUUGCACACACCUUAGCUUCGUCAACAGUCCGUCGUCAACUUAGCCUUGCAUGUUUGUUUCCUUGGCUUAUGCAAGGGACAAGGUUAACAUGCUUAAUACCUUGUCCAUGCUACCAUUUAAUUGAGUGACUUAGAUCAGGGGUCUAACAGAAUCCUUCAACAUUGGUGGUACUUUUCCUUGUGAAAUACAAUUUCUAAUUCAUUUGAAGAGUACUUCAACAUGUCUUUGAGGUGCCGUGCCCCGAGGCCGCCCCCGCCCUACCCCCGGCCUCGAGGCGAAGUUUCCCGAAGACCACCCUGGCCUCGAGCCCCCACCACGCUACCGACCUCGAUGCACAGUGCCUCGAGGCCCCCGCCCGCCCUCGGCCUCGAUGCUCUGUGCCCCGCCCCAGCCCCCGAGCCUCGAGGCACCGUGCCUCGAGGCCCGCCUCCCAUCCAUAAGGCGCCGUGACCCGAAGCUAGCCCCUCGGCCUUGAGGCGCCGCACCCUGACGCCCCUGGCCUCGAGGCGGCGUGCCCCGAGGCCUCCUGCCCUCGGCUUCGAGGCGUUGUGCCCACGUAAAUUUUCAUUUAGUUAAUCUAAGUAUUCAAAGUUAGAAUUAAUCAAAACAAAAAUAACUAAACACAAUCCAAUAAUCAAAUGGGAGAUAGAGAGAGAGAGAAAAUGAGUUUGGGCCUUUCCACUUGGAAUUGAGUUUUGUGUUCCAAGUCACCUUAUAGAAAUUCCUAAUCAAAAGGAAGUUUUGACUCUAUUAAUUUAUGGUCUACGAACUAGAAAAUUGAGUUAGGAAUUUUGUUGACCGAGGGGAAGGAAUUAGGCAUCCCCCGAAUCCCGUGGUUCUAUCACAGUCGCUUUAUGAUUGACAUAGUGAGUUUACCAUUUUACCUAUAUUACUUAUGAAAUUGAUGAAUUAAAAAUUUAAGAUUUUCAAAAAGUUCUAGCUUUUUCAAAGUAAUUAAUUGAGAGUAUAAUAGGUAAUUUUUUUGUUCUAUCUUGAUUUGUCAACAUGGACAAGUAAAAAAGAAAAAUUGAACAAGUAAUUAGGAACAAAACGAGUAUAUCAAAUCACGACUCUCGAUGAGUCAAAUCUUGAAAAUCGCAUAAUGGAUAUUAUUUUUAAUUUUCUCGUCUUUGAUCUCAAAAUAAUCAUUUUAUUUUUGCUUAAACUUUGUGCAGGUUUUUUUAAAAACUACCAUACUCAUUUUGCGAAUCUCGCAAUUUUCGACUGAUUAUUUGACUAAUGACUAUAACUUCUGCUAAUCAUGGUAUUUAUUCUGUUUUUUCAUCCAGUGCCCGCACUAUGUCAGAGAAUCUUUGUUUUCGACCUCUCUUUGCAACGCAAUUUAAGGGCUAAAACUUUCUCUCGACAUUUUUCUUUUAUUUAAAUCAUUGAUCUCAUAUAUAUAAGCGGGGGUCUGCAUUCACUAUAAAGCCUAAGCCCAUCCAUUUCUUUCAAGCUUGAUCCUUCCUUUAGACUCGUUACUUUGUUUGACUGAAUUCGUUGGUUCCGCAUUGAUUGUAAUCCGGUUUUAGAACCUUCUCUCAUAGAUUCCCUUCAUCAAGUCAUCGCCAAUAGUCAACUUAAACUAGAGAGAAACACAAUUAUACAUUGUCUGAAUUUACUGUAAAAAAUUGAGCAUCAACGAAAGGAAGAACAAAGAGAAAACUCAGCAGAAACAAAUUUGAUUCAAAAUGAAGAAACUCCACGAGCGCCCUAAAAAGAAAAAGAACAUAUAAUAAAAUUUGAAAGAUGAAAAAGUGAAGGCACGAAAGAGGAGCAACACUAACAUUAGCGCUAAAGAUCGAAAUAAUCGCAUCACAACAGUAUCAAUAAGAAAAGCUGCAUCAAAAAAGAAACUUCACUGUGAAAAUCUCAAAAAGUUUAAAAAAAAAUUACAAUUAACAUGGAGUGAGAUUUUGAUCAACUAGUAACAAAAUCAAGUGGUUAGUUCGAGAAAAAAUUCAAAAGGAGAGCGAAACUUGUUAAAAUGACGAAUACAACAAAUAUAUUUAAAACAUAUUGAAAAAGAAAACUAUAUCACUUAAAUUUAGACAAAAGAGAAAUGUCCAUAUAAACAUCUCUUGGAUGAAGUAUAGAAUAAUUAAAAAACCCUAUAUUACCAAAAAAAAAAAGAUAUAUAUAAGAGUAGUAAAUAUAUAACGUGCGGCAAAAACUUCAGGUUUCGGUAGAAACAAUAAAGCAAAGAUCAAUUUUUGUUGAAUUAUACUUCAAAGAAUGAAGCUUUCGAUGAAACGUUUGCUAACCAAAAUGAAAUCUGAAGCUUUUCAUCGACGCCCAAAACGGAGGAGACUGAGAAAGCGUACUGAAAUUUCAAGCAAAGAUUCAAUGGGGUGUUUGCCAGAAGAACUGAUCGAAGCAAUUCUUGUAAGGGUUCCAGUUAAAUACCUCUUACAGUUCAAAUGUGUUUCCAAAUAUUGGCUUAAUUUGAUUUCCAGUCCUGAAUUUGUGAAAACCCAUCUUAGUUUUUCUGCUAAGGAUUACACCCGCCAUAUAUCUCUGUUACAAUUGGAUACAUUAGAGACUAAUAUUAAAUCUUGCUCUGUUAGCUCUUUAUUUCAUAACUCUGUUACUGGGGCACUUGAUUUGGAUUGUCCCAUGAAAAAUUCACGUUAUGGUGUUCGUAUUAAGGGUUCUGUUAAUGGUUUGGUUUGUCUUGCCGAUGGGUUUGGUGGGUUGGUGCUAUGGAAUCCAUCAAUUAGAAAGUUCAAGAAAGUGUUCGGCUUUGUGCCUACACAGAUGCGUGAAUGCUGGUCCACUUGUGCUUUUGGAUAUGAUGACGUUCAUGACGAUUAUAAGGUAGUGGGUAUUUUUAGUAGCAUGAUUAAGGCCUUUUUCGAGGCCGCGAUAUAUAGUUUAAAGAGUGAUUCUUGGAGAACACUUGAAGAUUUUAAACCUGGGGUGAGUUACUGUGGUGAGGCUAAAUUUGUGAAUCAUAAGCUUCAUUGGAUAACAUUUCGUAGACGUCGUAUGCGCAUCACGUCUAUUGAUUUGGUUGAUGAGAAAUGGGGUAAGUUGGAGCUGCCCAGCUACAACAAAGGACGAGAUUUGAAGCUUGGAGUGUUGGGUAGUGAUCUUUCGUUCCUCUGUAAUAAUGAUGAGAGAACGCACUCUGAUGUGUGGGUAAUGAAGGAAUAUGGAGUUAAAGCGUCUUGGACAAAACUGUAUACCAUCAGGUAUCCUGAGAACUAUGAGCUUUCUCCGCCCCUUUUCACGUAUAAUAAAGGUGAAAUUCUGCUCGCGUUUAAAUCAACUUUAGCGAUAUACGAUCCAAAGAAUGACUCUAUCACAUAUCCAAAGGUUCUUAAUGUUGAGGUUACUGGUGUUUACAACAGAAAUAAGGCGGAACUCUGCAUCGAAAGCCUAGUUUGUCCGGAUUUACCAAACGAAGAUUGAAAGAUGUCAGAACUCAGGUGAAUGCCUGUUGUAAUAGUUAACAGCUUGUAAGUAUUCUUUCGCUGCAUUUUUCACGUGUUUUAAAAUCCUGCUUAUUUUGUCAAAUAUUGAACAAGAUGUUGCCUAUUCAAGGACCACUUUUACAUCAUAUCUACUUAGAUAUCUUGGUUGUCCAUUUUUUUUCUGCCAACACCCAAGGAACAACAACGUUUUGCAAGAACAUUUUUGUAUCUCGUGUUUGGUGGCUUCUGCGCUGCUAAGUAAGUGACAUUGGACGUUCUUUUAGUCUUCUAAGCAGUGUUUUAGGGGUACAUGUUGUGUCACUAGACUAAGUAAGAGCAAAGAGCACCAAGGCACAAGUGAAUAUGCCAAUAAUUAUUCGCAUAGUCCUUUGGCAGAAUCAAAGCCUAAACAUGAUUAAUGAUCGUUUUUUAGUGACACUUAUUAAGGAGAUAGAUGAAUUAUGGAGAUCAUUCAAUAACAGUUAAUUAGCUUCUUUUCUCUUUCUUUUUUCUCUUUUUUACCUAGGAAGAAAAUGUUGACUCUAAACAACAAUUCCGUAGACCAGAUAUGGAAAAAGAUGAAUACUUUAGACCUGAUAUUGGCUUCAAUUAAACAACAAUGUUUCUGAUCAGUCUGUUGUAUAAAACUUUACAAAAAUAUAUAUAUUGAAAAAAUGUCUUUCUUAACUUUUUCCUGUAUAGUAGACUAAAUUUAGAAUGUUGCUCAAAAUGUUCAAAAUAAAUACACCAGAUAUUCCUACUUAAAUUGAUUUAUUAAUUCUAAUCUUGGAAUGUUACUCAAAUAUUCAAAAUAAAUACUUCAUGUAUUCCUCCAAUAUUUAUAUGACUUCUACUCAACUGGUUAUCCCCCAAGGUGUUAAACACUUUAAGUCAUCCAGAUUGAAAUUAGGAGCUAAGAAGCAUUGCAGAAGAUGGAGCAGUUCUAUCCUAGCAGUAAGACUUAAACAUAAAACCCGCAACCCGCCCUGCCGCACAUCAUUUUAAUAAAAUUACCUCAACCUGCCCUGCAGCGCACAACUUUAAACCUGUCCGCAGGCUUAAACCUGCCCUGCCCCACCCCAUUUUAAAGUUAACAAAAACUGUCCUACUUUAGUAAGAAAUACUCAUUUUUCAAAAGUUUGAAUCAUUUUGGGUUGAGCAUAGGCCCUAGUUGUGCGGACUCUUCACUUUGAUGCCACACCCGUGUCGAAUAUACACUACUUUUGGCGAAUCCGACACACACUCAUUGACAUUUUUGAAGAGUCCAAGCAACUUAGGCAUAGGCACAGUUGGAAGUGUUGAUUUGCUGGGUCCAAGACACUCUCACUACAACAAAACCAACUUUUAGUGGCAAUAAAUAUUGACAUUAAUAAAGAGUGCUAAAGUCUUUACCGGCAUUAGUUAAGUGCCAUUAGAACCAAUGUCGCUAAAGGGACAUAUACAAAGAGUGUUAAUUGCCGCUAAAAAUACAUAUUUAGCGGCAAUUAAGAAUUAAUUGCCGCUAAUGAUCAUUUUUUAUGUAGUGUAUAAAGCUAACUUCUUUCUUUUCACUUUAUCUUUUUCCUCUUUAAAAAUAGGAAGAUCAAUUUCUUUUUCUUUCUCAACCUAUAUGCUAGUGAUUUAAAUUUUUCAAUUUCUGUAACCUUGGUUGCUUCCAUUUAUUCAACUGACUAUAAAACAUUGUUCACUUCUAUAUGUCGGCAGCAACGUUAUCUCUUCCCUCUCAAUUUUAAAUUCUAAUCUUUUUAAUCUUUCUCUCAAAUUAAAUCUCAAUUUGGUGUAAACCAAAAGCACACAACUCACAAGCAAACUGUAGAUUUACAUAGAAAUUUUUCUUGGUUAUGUCUCCAUAAGAAAUGAACAUUUUACUGGUUGAUGCGGGUUUUGAAACCUACCUAUAGGGGCUUAAACUGGUAUUUAGCUCUUAAAUUUUGCCUCGACAAUAAGAACAACAACUUAUACUUGUUGUUAGGCCCACAACCGAAUUCAUAUUCUACACCAUACUAGUACCCUUUGUUUCCCAUUCAACUACAUCUUCUCUGGUAGGCUCAAAGAAUUCUUAUGUAUCAUUUUAUCUGAAUUGGGUGCCUCUGAAAUGAUCAAUAGGUUAAGUUGCCUAUUUUUACAACGGUGAUUGAGGCCAAAUAUUUCAUCACAUGUGAAACAUAACAUUGGCUCUCUUUUUCGUGCAAAUUUUGAAUCAUACAACUUUUUGAAUUAUCCCUCGGAUUUUGCUACUGAAGUUGUGUUGAAGCUAGUCGACUUUGCUAUCGUCUGCGAUGGUGAAUCAGUGUUACGCCUUCUGCUCUAGUUCUUGAGUCACAUGUUUCAAGCUAAGUUGCUCGGACUCGGAUGCGGGUGUCCGAUACGGGUGCGGAUCUAAAAGUCAGAUCCUUCACGAUCUAAUUUUUAAGAUUCGGGGAUAUGGAUCCAUGUAUGGAUAUGGGGUGCGGAGAUUCGCCUAAAAAUAAUUAAAAUAUCUAAAAAUAGAGUUAUACAACUCAUAUUAUGAGAUAUUAUGUGGAAAACUUGAGGAGAAUCCUGGAAGCAGAUUAUAGGAAAAGGAGUGACAUAGAAAUUUCUAUAUAAAAGGUAUUCUAGUUCCUUCAAUUUCACCUUAGCUUUUGUAUUGAUUAUAGGAAUCAUUAAAAUUGUCCAGACUUUCUCCAUCGAUUUUGGUCAAAGUACCCAAAAUCCAUUGACCAAAUUGGACACGGAUCCCACACCCACACCCAUGUUGUGUCGACACGGGUGCGGCACCAAAAGUGAAUUAAUAUUCAACACCAUAAGAAGAACAACUUAUACCUGCCGAAGGAGCACAACUGAAUUAAUAUUCAACACCAUCAUAGUAUCCUCAGUUUCCCCUUCAACAUCUUCUCCGGUAGGCUCAAAGAAUUCUUCUAUAUCAUUUUCAUUUGUGUUGGGUGCCUCUAAAAUGAUCAAUAGGUUAAGUUGCCUAUUUUUACAACGGUGAUUGAGGCCAAAUAUUUCAUCACAUCUGAAACAUAACAUUGACUCUCUUUUUCGUGCAAAUUUUGAAUCAUACAACCUUUUGAAUUGUCCCUCGGAUUUUGCUAUUGAAGUUGUGUUGAAGCUAGUCGACUUUGCUGUUGUCUGCGAUGGUGAAUCAGUGUUUCGCCUUCUGCUCUAGUUCUUGAGUCACAUGUUUCAAGCUAAGUUGCUUGGACUCGGGUGCUGGUGUCCAAUACGGGUGCAGAUCUAAAGGUCUGAUCCUUCAUGAUCUAAUUUUCAAGAUUUGGGGAUAUGGAUCCAUGUAUGGAUACGGGUGCGGGGAUUCACCUAAAAAUAAUUAAAAUAUCUAAAAAUAGAGUUAUAAAACCCAUAUUAUGAGAUAUUAUGUGGAAAACAUGAGGAGAAUCCUGGAAGCAGAUUAUAGGAAAAGGAAUGACAUAGAAAUUUCUAUAUAAAAAGUAUUUCAUUUCCUUCAAUUUCACCUUAGCUUUUGUAUUGAUUAUAGGAAUCAUUAAAAUUGUCCAGACUUUCUCCAUCGAUUUUUGUCAAAGUACCCAAAAUCCGUUGACCAAAUGAUCUCACACCCACACCCAUGUCGUGUCGACACGGGUGCGGCACCAAAAGUGAAGAGUCCGAGCAACUUAGGUUUCAAGUAUGUUUGCGACUCGAGAAUAAUUGGGUCUGAAGCCAACUGAUUUAUUGCUUGAACUUCCUCUACUUGGUUCAAAUUUAAAACCCUGAACUUCUGCAAAACAGAAUUUUGAUCCUUCCCCUUUUAGCCAUCUCCAUUAUCUCCCUCAAUGUUUCAUCCCAUUCAAAAACACUCCAGAUAACUUUCCAUCAGACACCUCCUUCCUCCUUCAUAGAUGCCGACACCUUUCCAAAUUCUUCAUGAAAUGCGGUAACCUGCCAAUGAUUAUUUUUAAUGAUCAUUUUUAGUGACACUUAGCUUGUUGAGGAGAUAGAUGAAUUACAGAAAUCUUUGAUUAACAAUUAAUUAACUCCUGAUAUAUAAAGUUUGGAUGAUUUUCCUUGUUGCUCAUAGCUUUCUUUUAUUUCUUUAGUUAAUCAAAAGGCAGAAUCUUCUUUCACUUUAGUUAUGUCUUAGCUCAUAAAUUUUGUGUUCGUCAGUAAGAACAACUUAUACUCACAUAUUCUUGAUGAUUGCAGGUUGUUGUAGAAUCAUACACAUGUUCAGGAGAACAUAUAUACUUACUAGCUGAUGCUUUAGCAACUACUUAGGAGAAGCAGAUGCAAGCUUUUUCUUCAAUAGCCGGCCAAAUGACUACAGGAUCAUCGGUCUACUCUACCUCAAUUCACUAUUUCGAACCUUAUACAAAAGAUUUUUUCCGUACUAGGAAGUAAGAUUAUAUCGUUGCAGGUUGUAAAAACUCUAUGAUGCUACUUAAUUUUGUUGAAGGAUGCAAGAAACACUCAUGAAUUGAACAACAGAAAAUUAAACUUGUUAGUUGGAAUGUAAUCAUACUAGUUUAUGCUCUUGCUUUUUGUUUUCGUUUUUAAGAUUCUGCUUGAUGCACACAAUUAGAUGUUUGAUAACUUGUUCUACAAUAUCUACAGUUCAUGAUGUACGUCUCAAGUAAAUUACAUGUUAUUGUAGUUAAAAGUCAACAAAUUUGAACAUGUACUCAUCUACCGACAAACUUUUUAAUCUAAUUUUCGACCGCUAUACUUUUCUAUCUAAGGUCAUUUCCUCAGUCACGUCAAAUGGUCUACCGACUAACCUUUUACUCCUAUCUACCGACUAACCUUUUACUCCUAAUCUUUGAUCUCUAUACCUUUUUUCUAAGGUCAUGUCCUCAGUAACAUCUACUAACUAACCUUCUACUCUAAUACUUAUUCAUUCCGUUUUUCAUGUCCAACGAACUAAGAAGUGGAAAUCAAGUAUAAACAUCAAAAUACGAUAAUCAAAGUACAAAAAUACAAGUAUAAUUACAUAAGCUUAGCUGCAAUUGAGAUACACAAGUGCAGUCGCAUGGCUGCUCUCUACUGCGUUUUUGCUAAAACAAGAGACUAAAUAAAAAAAGUAUAAUAUUUGAUGACCAAUCUGCAGCAGCCAGCAGUGCAUCAGGAUGCCGGGAUUUCAUCUUCCUUUGUUGCACAAUCUGCAGCAUCGUCUUCCAUGCCAGUGGCUGCAGUGAAGCAACAAGAUGAGGUUGAGCAAAAAAUGAGUAUUAAAUAUGCUAUCUAGCUAUACUGUAGUAUGAUAAGCAAAAUGGAACCUUGUAAUAUAAUGUGAUAUUGUUCAAAAUAAGAAACAGAGAACAACAAAAGCUAUCAACUACACAUUCUGGUCAUUGUAUUGCUCAACUUCUCCCAUUCAUAAGCCAAACAUAGUUCAACAGCUCUUCUACUUCCCAGAACAAGAGCAAGUAGGAUCCAACAUUAGAGCAAAACUUGACAUUGGAGAAAGUAAAAUACACCUAUAUUAUCAUUAAAAACUAAUCAAUCAUAGGUAAAGGGCCCUUUAUAGAGACACAGGAAACUAAUUUGCCUAAACAAAAGUCGUUCAGACAGUUAGAGACAGAUUCAGAAUUUACCUAUCAAUGCGGGCCAAGUUUAGCAAGAUACGAUUGAAGUUCCACCGCAACUUAUUUAAUCUGGGUAAAAUGGGCCGAUUUCAUAAAUAUGGGCUGAAAUUGCCACCCCUAGUGAGGUUUGUCGAAAUUUUUCUUGAUUAUGUAUGGGAUUGCCCCCUUGUAUUUUUCACAAGCCUUCUUCAUAUUAACUGCAAAGCGGUGCAUUGGAGAGUAUGAAGGAUUUCUUCACCCAUGUUGAGGACGUAGCUUAUACUGCACUACAACUAUAUUUCCUAGCGGUGGCCAACUAUAUGGAGGAAGACAAAGAAGAGGAACGUACGCGUGUGUUAACAGAUGAGUUCUGUAAAUUGCUGGAAAAGAUAAAUCAUUUUAGUCUUGAUUUGAGGCAGAUUUAUAAGAGCCUCUUGUUAGCAUAAACGUCAUCAAGAUCAGAGACUACCAUGAAAUCUGGAUGUAUGCUUGAUUUUGUUAAUACUCUAUGUGAGGAUCUGAACGUGCAUCUAGGCCAUGGUCAAAUUUGGUGGCUUGAAAAAGGACUUCAGAAGCUUUCUAAAUUUCUACAGGACAUAGAAUUUACACGCGCACCACUCAAAGAAAUCAGUUUUCUUCAAUCUCUGGCCAUUGAUGCAAUAGUUUUUAUCUACUCCUUUGAUAAGGAUCUUCUUUCCCUGUUGCACCAGAAGUUUAAUCAUUUCUAUGCAGAAGGCGAGCUGAUAGAGCUACUUAACCAUGUCUGUGAUGCCACCAGAAUUGUUCCUCUGAAAGAUCUGACUGACUAUGCUCGGGGAGAGCUGAUAUUCUUGAGAACUUUUCUCAUGGAUUCAUUGCAGCAGUGCAAACAACAAACUAAGAUAACUUACUUUUUGACCCUUAUUCAAUCUGUGACUACCCAAGCCCAGUCAGACAUUAGGUCUCUUUGUUAACAUGGGAUACCUUGAGACCACGGAAAUUAGACCCUUGCAUUUUCACUUGGACAACCAUUUGUGCAUCAUCAACAUUGGACCAUUCUACCUCGAGUCACCACGCCUACACCCCGGGUGCGCACCUCGAGGUUCCGUGCCCCGAGCCCCACCCCCCAGACCUCGAGGNNNNNNNNNNNNNNNNNNNNNNNNNNNNNNNNNNNNNNNNNNNNNNNNNNNNNNNNNNNNNNNNNNNNNNNNNNNNNNNNNNNNNNNNNNNNNNNNNNNNNNNNNNNNNNNNNNNNNNNNNNNNNNNNNNNNNNNNNNNNNNNNNNNNNNNNNNNNNNNNNNNNNNNNNNNNNNNNNNNNNNNNNNNNNNNNNNNNNNNNNNNNNNNNNNNNNNNNNNNNNNNNNNNNNNNNNNNNNNNNNNNNNNNNNNNNNNNNNNNNNNNNNNNNNNNNNNNNNNNNNNNNNNNNNNNNNNNNNNNNNNNNNNNNNNNNNNNNNNNNNNNNNNNNNNNNNNNNNNNNNNNNNNNNNNNNNNNNNNNNNNNNNNNNNNNNNNNNNNNNNNNNNNNNNNNNNNNNNNNNNNNNNNNNNNNNNNNNNNNNNNNNNNNNNNNNNNNNNNNNNNNNNNNNNNNNNNNNNNNNNNNNNNNNNNNNNNNNNNNNNNNNNNNNNNNNNNNNNNNNNNNNNNNNNNNNNNNNNNNNNNNNNNNNNNNNNNNNNNNNNNNNNNNNNNNNNNNNNNNNNNNNNNNNNNNNNNNNNNNNNNNNNNNNNNNNNNNNNNNNNNNNNNNNNNNNNNNNNNNNNNNNNNNNNNNNNNNNNNNNNNNNNNNNNNNNNNNNNNNNNNNNNNNNNNNNNNNNNNNNNNNNNNNNNNNNNNNNNNNNNNNNNNNNNNNNNNNNNNNNNNNNNNNNNNNNNNNNNNNNNNNNNNNNNNNNNNNNNNNNNNNNNNNNNNNNNNNNNNNNNNNNNNNNNNNNNNNNNNNNNNNNNNNNNNNNNNNNNNNNNNNNNNNNNNNNNNNNNNNNNNNNNNNNNNNNNNNNNNNCCCCACCCUCGACCUUGAGGCCGGCCGCCCUCCCCACCCCAUGACCUUGAGGCCCCGUGCCCCGAUGUUGACAUCCCUUUGAGAGGGAGAAACUUCGCGGUGACUCAAAUUUAAAAGAGUUAAAAGAAUUUUUUUUAAAUGGAAAGGGGUAAAAGCGAGUCGCCACCUAAUUUUAGAAAAACUAGGAAACCAAUUAACAAAUCAACUUAAAAGAAAUGUCUAUGAAACCAAUAGAUUCUAGGUAAGGGGUUCAAGUUAUUCCGAAGGAAAGGUGUUAGUCAUCCUUUGAAAUCCACAAUUGUGGGUCCUGACUAAAAUCAUUUUUUUCAAACUGAGGAGGAUAUAAAAACAAAUAUACAAGUAUAAUAAACAUGUGAUAUACACAAAUAAUAACAUAAAACAAUAAUAUGAGGAUCGGCCUAAGUUUGCCUAACAUCGAUAUAUACGAAAUAAUGAAUAAAGAGUUUAAUUCAAACUUUAUUCGAAUAGCUUCAAUUGGAAGCAACUCUGUGCACCUUUAAAAACACUUAGUAAAAGUGUUAGUUAUAAAUAAACAUGAAUAAAAAUAAAUGAAUCAAAGAAUAAUUAAAAAAUAAAAAUCCAUCUUAUUAACGUGGGAGGCCUCUAAAACCGAUGGAGAUUUUUUCAUUGGCCAAUUUUAACAAACAAAAUAUAUGAACUUAAAUUAAAUUUCCGUCUUUUAACAUUGGGGAGGCCUCGAAAACCGACGGAGAGAUUUUUUUAUUGGCCAAUUUUAACAAACAAAAUAUAUGAACUUAAACUAAAUUUUUGUCUUUUAACAUUGGGGAGGCCUCGAAAACCGACGGAGAGAUUUUUCAUUGGCCAAUUUAAACAAACAAAAUAUAUGAACUUAAACUAAAUUUUUGUCUUUUAACAUUGGGGAGGCCUCAAAAACCGACGGAGAGAUUUUUUCAUUGGCCAGUUUUAAUUAUUGAGUGUGAUAAAAUAUAAAAGACUAAUGAAAGGGAAAAAUAUAUAGCACAAACCCAGUGAAACAACAUAACAUCAAAACUACUAUAGAUCACUAAAAAUAAGAAAUUCCUUUUAUCAAUUCUAUAAACACCCAAAAUAAUAUCUACUGUAUGAAGAAUAAAAGUAUAAACAACAAAAAUAAUAAUAAGAAAAAAUAAGAAAACAAAGCAGUAACAAGUGCUAACAAAAUCAAAUAGCAAAAUAGAAAGAACCACACCAAUGAAUAUAUUUCUGUAUAGAAUACUUUAGAACGAAUGGAGCAGGCAACAAUGUCAAGGAAAAAGUCAACAAUCAAGUAGUAAAAGGUAGAGCAACCAAAACAAUAAAUUAAAGUGAUUAUAAAAUCAAUCCAAAAACAGAAAAAUAAUACCUAAAUAAAGUAACAAAUAACAAUUGGUCCAAGUAUGAUAGAAAAUACCCAUAAGUGGAGCUUGCUGAUAACCUGGAGCUAUUUUCGAGUAGAUCUAGAAAUGGGAUUUAGCUCGUCGGAGCUUGGAACAUGUUGGCGGUGUUGUGGUGUUGUCUGUCACCGGAGUUGAUGCUCUGGUUCGGCGGGAUACCUGCUAAAUGGAGGAAAAAUCGUGAAAGGGGGAGAGGGAAGGGGCUGGUUUGUUUUUGUGUUGCUCUGCUUUAUCGGAGCUUUGAGCUCCUCGCCGGAGCUACUUGGUGCAGUGAACAAAAGGGAAAACGAGGAUGGGAUCUGAGUGAGCUGGGGUUUUGUGAGUAUGAAGCUUGCUGGAAAAGGGUUUUAGGUGGUCUUGAGGAUUGGCGAAGAGUGUGAAGAGUGAUUGAGUUAGUGGGGUUUGGGGUGAUGGUUGAUGGGGAAAAUGAGGUCGUUUCUGGUGGGUGUUUGGUCGUUUCCAAUGGUGUUUCGGCAAGGUUUCACCGAAAAAUGGAAAAGAGGGAGAUGGAAAUUGUUUUGUUGUUGUUAAAUGGUUGUUUCUGGUGGCUUGAUGUUGUUUUCAGGCGGUGGUUGGUGUGUUGCUUCGACGGAAUAAGUGAAAAAUUGAAGAAGGAUUCUGGUUUGAGUGUGGUCUUUGUUUGCUGGAGAAAAAUGGAAGAAAACAAAUGGGGUUUUGGUGGUGGACUCGCCGGAUUCCAGAGAACUCCGGUGUGCUUGUCACCGAAAAAAUAAUAAUAAUGAAUAGUUGAAAAAUAUCUGAAAAAUACCCCUAAAAUCUUAUCAACCACCCUCUAACCUAAUGAGCAAACUAUUCUUUAAAUACGAAAUUGAAAACUACCAAUAGUACAAUACCACUAUCUUAAAACCGUGGGCCAAAACCUCCGAUUACUAAAAUAUUUGUGUAUGAAAUAUCAUCUUUAUCAGAAUAAAUUUUUGUAUUGUGCAAAAUAUCAAAAUGAAUGCUAACAAAUGUAACAGAUAAAAUGAAUAUGAAAAAUGUAAUGAACGUUGUUUUAUUAAAAAUAAUAUUUGGACUGGUUUAAGAGUCGCCACUUAAUUUUUAAGAAAAAAUCAAGAAAACUGAUUUUCAAUAGAUUAAAAACAGAGAAUCAAUUGAAAAUCUUAAGGGGGGUUCGGGGUUCUUAUUAAUAUUCUAGGAAGGUUUUUUAAGGCACCUAGAAUAUCCGUUAAUGCAGUUAUCCGACAAUUAAUUUACUCGGCUAAAAUGAUUUAACUUUAACUUAAAUUGCAAAAUUGAGUUAUUUUGUAAUUAGAACUAUUUUAAAGGGGAAAAGGGGAAAUAUUUAAAUAUUAUCCAAGUGAACUAUCUUAUAAAAUUAUUUCUUUAAGUCUUUGUUAAAAGAUGACUGAUUUAGUUAAAUUGUUAAAUCGAAAUGGGUGUCUUUCGGGGAUUUGAAUUUUUCGACCUUAAGUUUAGCGGCAAAUAUUAACAAGCACACAAACACAAUAAAAUAAAGAGGGAAAGAAACUCGGGCCCAAAUUUGGUUUUCUGUCCGCCUGGACCAAUACUUGGGCCCAUUUUCGUUCUGGACCUUUGGCCCAUUUGAGUCACCUGUACCUGUCCUAAACUAACGUAAAGAAAUAUUUUCUUUGGGCCUUAGGCCCAAUUUUUCACCUGUCCUAAAUUCUAACAAAACAAUAAUAAGUAAAAUAACAAGGGCUUAGGCCCAAAAAAUAACAAAAUGCAACUAUUAUGAAUUAAGAGUGGGCCUUUGGUCCAAUCUUUUCAAUUUUCUCAAUCGAUUGCUCCUUUCAGCUUCAGGACCUGUUCGUCGACUUUUACGGCUGGUUGGUUGACUCGAUAAAGAUGGUUUGAGCCUUUAUGGCUCUCUUGAAAUGCGAGGGAAAUGAGUGAGUUCGCGGCGAACUCGGACAUAUUUCACAUGCAAAACGACAAAUAAAAUACAUAAGUACUAAAUCAUAAGAAGUAUCAAGCAAAAUGAUAAGUUAUGCGACAUUUAUAUACAACAGUGAAUUUGCAAUAAUUCAACAGCGAACAACAAUUUAUUUUUAAACAGAAUUACUAAGCCAAAGAAAGCAGAGAUUCAAGCAAAGAAGAAAAAAAAACAAUCACCCCUAUGCAGAUUUUGAUACUAAGGACAUUUAAAUCAAGCUUAUGAAGAUAAGAAAGGGGGUCUAGGAAACUAUUACAGUAAGCACAGAAGAUAAAAUGCUAACUAGACUUAAAAUUCCAUAGAUAACCCCUUAAACUUACUAGAGUAAGACCAUUCAAAGGGGACAUGUUCAUGCAGUUAGUCAUUGAACACAUCUUAGACAAAUGCUCACAGUCAAAAAAUCUAAGUUGGUCAAUACAUAAAUAAAACAUGAACCAAUGAUUAAGAUAGUAUCAUGUCAAAGUCACAAGCCAUAAAUAUAAGAGAACUGGAGUUGAUUUUUUACUUAGAAGCAGUAGGAGACACACUUAGCACAGAAAAUAAUCAAUUUCGAUAUAGGAAACUUUAAACAACUUGAAGAUUUUCGUUUAACACUCACAAAUACGGAACAACCAACUUACCUAACCCAUUAAAAGAAAAACAUUUGGACAUAAACUUAUAUAUAUAUAUAUAUAUAUAUAUAUAUAUAUAUAUGAGUAUAGAAAGAUUAGUUAGACCAAAAAUUUUAACAUUUUUUAUGAGAUACAGGGAAUAUAACAGCGACAUGGUUGAAAUCAAGUAAAUCCUCAAAAUUUGAGCAAGACAAAAACAACAAUUUGGUUAAAGAAAACAAACUAGCCGUAUUUUGUCAAGCAUGACAAGUAUCAUUAGCCAAGAUUUACAAUAAUAAAGAGAAAAUAACGGCAGACUACCGAAACCAUAACCUCUCUUCUUGUCACAUUCAUAUACGAAUAGUCGACAUUAAAAUAAAGUCGCAAUGAACAGAUGAGCUAUCGGCCAUAGGAUAUAACCAAGUUGAACAGAACUAAGCAAACUAGUGAGCAAACAAUUAAGAAAACUAAAUCCAAAAAGAACAAGAGUUUCUUCAAAGGAACAAACCAGGGGAACAUAGAUGAAGGUAGGAAUUACCUCUUAUUGUGCAGCGACUGGAAACAACAAGCAGGGCGACGACCUUCACCACGAGAACUCGAACAUAAACACCCUAACAGAGAUUUGGACAGAAACUUAAACCCAAAUACCGAAGCUAUUAUCUCUUCUCCUUACAAAGUGUAUUUAGUGUGUAUUGAAGUAUUUUUGCUCCAGCUCUCCUUCAUGUUUUUGCUCAAUAAAAUCCAACUAAAAAAUAUCCUUAAUUUAUUUUAUAUUUUUUUUCAACCCCCUCCCCCCUCCAAAUAGUGAAUGAGCAACUAUAUAUGGAAGGGAAAUUAGGGUAGAUUGAAUGGAGGGAAAACGAGUGAAAUUCGGACAGAAAACGCCUAAUUCAAAAAUCGAACUCCCAAAAUUCCUUUCACCAUUUAAGCUAGACACUCUUUUCCCUAAAAAUUCCACCCCAUUCCGAAAUAGGAAAUGGGGACCAGCCGCGUGCCUGCUGCGAGUGCCUUUUUGCUGCUGUUGCAACGAUUUUGGCUGGAUCUCGUUUGAUUUGCUGCAUUUUCUGGGUUGUACGCAGGAGGAAGAAAGCGUAGGGGUGGGUUGGUUGUUGUUGCUGUGCGUUGUAGCUGCUGAUGUGUUGGUGUGGGAUUAAAAGGGAAAAGGGGAUGGGUUAUUGGGCUGUCUUAAGUGUUGUUGGGAAGAUUGGAAUGGGCUGGAAGAUAGGUGGAGUUGGGCUGGAACAGUGGGGAAAAUGGGCUGGAACAGUGGGAAAAAUGGGCUGCUGGAAGUUUGCUAAAAAUGCAAAAUGCAAGUCCAAAAUUAGAUUGGUGGGAAUUAACUUAAGCCUUUGCCAUAUGAUUUAAAUCAUAGCCAAUCGGGGAUUAGAGAUGUAGCCAAAUUGAAUUAAUUUGGGAUAAGUUCGGCUAGCAAUUUAAAUAAGACAAACUAACAUAAUUAACUUACGAGCUCUUUAAUCUUAACGAAAUAAAAUAAUUAAUUUAAUUAUAAACUAAAUAAUUUAAAAAUAUGAACUAUUAUAUAACUAGACUACUUUUAAUAGAAUAUUUAAAAUAAAAUCUUUUCGAGAUGAUUUCCAAAUAUUUAUAAAAUAUAUUUAUUAUAUAUAUAAAAAAUUAUAUGAAAUAUAUAUUAUUUAUAAAUUAUGAAAAUCGACCAAAAUCACUUAAGAUGACUUUGCAAAGUAUUUGAAUUUUAUAAAACUAAUUAUUCUAAAUCGUUUGGAAAUUAAGAAGCUCGUGAAUUAAUUCCUAUCGGGGAGGGUCAAAAUUGGGUGUCAACAAACGUAACGAAUGACAUGUAAAAAAUGUAAUUUAACAGAAAUAAUCAUUUUUUUAAAAAAUAAACAAAUAUUUGUACGUAUUCAAUCGGUUGUGAAAAAAUAAUAUAAACAGAAUUAACCGAUAAAAAUCCUAAUACUUUAAGAAUAAGGAUAAUUAUCAACAAAUUGCAUUAAAAUGGCAAAACAUUUAUUUUGAACUAUUUAAAAAAUAAAAUAAUUAAAAAGUAUUAACUUUAGAAAUAUCAGACCAAAAUUUGGUAUCAACAACUUGCCCCUUUGUUUGAUUAGGAUCAAUGAAAGAGAUCCUGGUCAAACAAAGUUGAAGAACCCCAAUUUGAUUUGAUAAACUUUGAACAAAACAAAAUGAGACGUUAGUAGAGCUUUUGAGCAAGACUCUAUGUCCGUCUAAUGGGCUGAAAAUAAUAAACAAAAGGCAGAGAUUGAUUGUAAACUGAAAACAUUCACAUACCUUCGAUGUUACUUGCAAAAUUGCACAAUGAAGGUAGUGUACCUCUUUGAAAGAAGGAUGAUCUGAAUAACAUGUCACUUUGAACGAGGUGACAACUCAACGUGUCUCUUUGAAAGGCGGACGACCCAACUUGAACAUAACAUGUCACUUUGAACGAGGUGAUAACCCAACGUGUCUCUUUGAAAGGCGGAAGACCCAAUUUGAAUAAAACAUGUCACUUUGUACGAGGUGACAACCCAACGUGUCUCUUUGAAGAAGGACGACCAAUUUGAAUAUAACAUGUCACUUUGAACGAGGUGACAAUCCAACGUGUCUCUUUGAAAGGCGGACAACUCAACUUGAAUAUAACAUGUCACUUUAAACGAGAUGACAACCCAACGUGUCUAUUGAAAGGCGGACGACCCAACUUGAAUAUAAUAUGUCACUUUGAAUAAGGUGACAACCCAACGUGUCUCUUUGAAAGGCGGACGACCCAACUUGAAUAUAACAUGUCACUUUGAACGAGGUGAUAACCCAACGUGUCUCUUUAAAAGGCGGAUGACCCAUUUGAAUAUAACAUGUCACUUGAAUGGAGAUAACAACCCAACUUGAAUAUAACAUAUCACUUUGAAUGAAGUGACAACCCAACGUGUCUCUUUGAAAGGCGGACGACCCAUUUGAAUAUAACAUGUCACUUGAAUGGAGGUGACAACCAAACUUGAAUAUAACAUGUUACUUUGAACGAAUUGACAACCCAACAUGUCUCUUUGAAAGGCGGACGACCCAUUUGAAUAUAACAUGUCACUUGAAGGGAGGUGACAACCCAAAUAAAGCUCUAAAUGAGUCCUAAUCUCAGACUCAUCAACGACCCAAUUUGAAUAUAACAUGUCAUUUGAAGGGAGAUGACAAACCCAACUUGAAUAUAACAUGAAUGGUGUAUCACAAAAUCUGCAAUAACAAUGUUAGUAACAAAUGUAACAUAAAAGCAACAUAAACUAUGCAAACAUGGCCUCAUACGAACAAGACAUUAACCAAUGCAACAAUUCAAACUUAAUAACAUCAUGAAUAAAAAAAAUGUCAAUUAGAAAUGGAAUAACAAAAUAAAAAGUGUCAUAUUGAACGGCAUGACAACCCAAUUUAAAAAAGAGCAUAAUUUUGAAUGGCAUGAUAAACCCUUUUUUUUUAAUAAAUAAAUAAAAAUCUAAGAUAACAAAUCAACUUUAAAAUGUGUCAUUUUGAAAGGUAUGACUACCCAAAUUUAGAAAGAUGUCAUUUUGAAGGGUAUGACUACCAAAAUUUAAAAAGAUGUCAUUUUGAAAGAUAUGAUAACCCAAAAUAAAAAGAUGUCAUUUUGAAGGAUAUGACGAUCCAAAGAUAAAAAAGAUGUCAUUUGAAAAGUAUGACGAACCAAAGAUAAAAAGAUGUCAUUUUGAAAAGUAUGACAACCCAAAAAUACAAUUUUAACUAUGAAACGGUCCACAAAGUUACUUUGGACAAGUAUCAACAAUGAAACAGUCCACAAAGUUGGUUUGACAAAUAUCAACAAUGAAAUAGUCCACAGUUUUUGGACAAAUAUCAACAAAGAAAUGGUCCACAAAGUUGGUUGGACAAGUAUUGAAAAGUGGGUAUCAAUCCAUUUUUAUUUUCUGGACAAUGAAACACAUUUUAACUUGGUUAGCGCCAAUAAUAGUAUUGUACAAAAAUUUCUCCCAAUUCUUUCUCUUUCAACUGAGAUUGACUUCGAGGUAAUUCCUAUGGAUUCCAGUGGUACCUCAAAUGUACUUAAGUAAUGACAAGAUUUGUUCAUCUUGCUUCAAACAAAGGCUAUGAACUAGACCUAACAUCAUGUUUCAAGUGCCCUCACCACAAAGAAAGUCCCAUUUGCACACUUAUAAAGUGUAUUGAUUUGAUGACACUUAGCAAAAUCCACUCACACUCAAAAAAAUAUUCAACGCAUGCAAUUGUGAUACCAUAGGCUUGGCCUUCAUGUAAAUAUCCACUAAUGUGAGAACAUUUGAAAUGAAUCAUGUAGUGCUUGUUAAUGGCUUGUAAUGUAGGCUUAGGGACGGGUAGGAUAGUCAUUUGGGAUAAAAGUGACUUAUUUCCUUCUUGAUCAUUGCACUAAAUUGAUGCUUUCAACAUUUGUUACGCUUUUAGCGUUUGAUCCUUUUUGUUGUCCCUUUUUUUUUUUACUUUUUGACUUCUUUGAAAAUUUGCUUGUCUGAGUUUUUCCCCUUUUCAUCAUCUUCUGAACUUUAUCCUUUUGGUUUGGAGUGUUUUUUACUUUUUGACUUCUUUGAAAUUUUGCUUGCUUAAAAUAGUGGGGAAUUUUCAAUUCUUUCUUCUUUCUUUUGAAGUCAUUUUUGUAUUCUCGACUUUCAGGGAGUUUGAUAACUUUUGUCUUUGACAAAUUUUGAACUUUGGAUCUUCUUUGUAACUUGCACGACUUCAGUGCGCUCAAGAAAGUCAGGCCAAAAUAGGUAUAGUGCGUAUAAGCACUCAAAAGGAUAUAGGCUAAAAAAGUGGUUGUCCAAUGAAAAGGCUUAAGGCUCAAAGUGGGACAUACUAAGGAUUAAUGUCAUUUGGUAGGCUUUGAAAGGCACAAACGGGUAAAAAGAAGGCCUACAAUCAUUUUUAAAAUCAAACAUCACUCAGCAUUUCGCCUUAACAAACAUUUAGGUCAAGUUCUAGAUCAACAAAGCAAUACAAUUGAAUUUAAUCAAAAGCUCACCACACAAUGUACAUGAAAAAAUGAAUCUGGUUUUGUUCUAAUCUUGAAUGUAUGAAAGAUAAUAUUUUCUCGUAUAACAAAAAUAUGAAUGAGAGGUACCAAAAGAAUACAUGGCUUAACAAAAAGUCAAUACUCUCCAUUUCAACAAUUACUUUUCAUAUGCGCACUUGAACUGUGUUGGCACCAACUAAGUCAAAAAAUGAUUUCAAAAAUAUAAACAUUAAAAGAAUAAAAAAUAAAAAAACUUUUGAAUAAAGAAUACGGAACCCAAGAAGGGCUGCCUACGUAUUUCAUUGAUGAGAAUCAGGUUUGCGUAGUUCAUUCAGAUAUGACAUAAAAAAAUAUUUUUUGAAAGAAGAAUAAACAGAAUAAAGAACCAAUGAUCCACAUUGAAGGGUGGGCAACCAAAAUUUAACAAAAAAUACUUUUUUUAAUAAUUAAAGAAAACUUAACAAGAAUGAAGAAAUCAGUGAGUUACAUUGAAGGGCGGACCACCCAAAUUUAACAAAAAAAAUUAUUAUUAUUAAUAAUUAAAGAAAAAGUAACAAAAAUAUAAAAUUAAUGAGUCACAUUAAAGGGCGGACAACUCAACUUAAAAAAAUGUCAAACAAUUUUGUUUUAAUUUUUGAAAUGGAGUAAUUGAAAUGAAAAAAUGAAUGAGUCAUAUUGGAGGGAGGACAGUCCAAACUCUACAAAUGUCAAAUAAAUUUAUACGAACACAAGAUAAAUAAAAUCAAAGAUAUACAAUGAAUAUAACAUCACGUACAAAAUUUAAUGCAAAAGAUACAAACCAACUCGGAGUGAUGCCUCAUAAAUUUAGAGUCUGAGAACAACCUUGGUGAAAUUUUUAAGAGCAUUCGUUAAAAAUUUUGCCCAUGUUUCAACUUCAACAAUCUUCGGUAUUUAAUCUUGUAACAACUAUCUCCUUUGUAAAAAUUUUGGAGAUCACCUCAAAAAAAAAUUCCCCAGUUUUCGCCUUGAAAUAAUGGAAAGCUUACGAGGAACAUGAUCGAGCCCUUAUGGCGCCUAAAUACGUAUCCCAUUGAAGCAUGAAUCAGGUCAAAUCUAGUUCCAAAAAAUUGUAACUUAAAUGGAGAAUGAACUGAGAUUAUGAAUGUUCUAAAACUAGGUGACCAAGACUGGCUUUUGAAAGACCGAGAAUCCAAGCAGACAACUUAGACUGGAACUCACGACAAUCAUUUGACGCAUGACGAACCAAUAAAUUGCCGAUCAUUUCGAAAAAUGAUUGAGUAUAAAAAAGUCUGGUUGCGAUUAUGCAGAAACCGUUCUUUAAUAUACUACACAUAUAUUAGAAAAUGCUAUGAUUGCAACAACAAUGUACAACAAAUAAUGAGUACAUUAUUCAAAUAAUCAACAAAAUAUACAAGAUAUAAUGAAUAACACAAUAAAAGAAUAGUCUACUCAUUAUUUGAACAAUUGAACCCAUAAUAAUUAAAAUCUCUAUAUCCACAGCGGAGUCGCCAUUCUGUUGACAUCCCUUUGAAAGGGCGCAACUUUGCGAUAACUCAAAUUUAAAAUAGUUAAAAGAAUUUUUUUUUAAAAAAGGGAAAAGAGUAAAAGGGAAUCGCCAUCUAAUUUUAAGAAAACUAGAAAACCAAUUAACAAAUUAACUUAAAAUAAAUAUCUACGAAACCAAUAGAUUAUUGGUAAGGGUUCAAGUUAUUCCGAAAGGAAGGUAUUAGGCAUUCUUCGAAAUUCACAAUUGUGGGAACUAACUGAAAUCAUUUUUUCAAAUUGAAAAGGAUAUAAAAACAAAUAUACAAGUAUAAUAAACAUGUGAUAUACACAAAUAAUAACAUAAAACAAUAAUAUGAAAAUCGACCUAAGUUUGCCUAACAUCAAUAUAUACGAAAUAAUGAAUAAAGAGUUUAAUUCAAACUUUAUUCGAAUAACUUCAAUUGGAAGCAACUCUGUUUACCUUUAAAAACACUUAGUAAAAGUGUUAAUUAUAAAUAAACAUGAGCCUCUAAAAUCGACGGAGAAUUUUUCACUGGCCAAUUUUAACAAACAAAAUAUAUGAAGUUAAACUAAAUUUUCGUCUUUUAACAUUGGGGAGGCCUCGAAAACUGACAGAGAGAUUUUUUCAUUGGCCAAUUUUAAUAAACAAAAUAUAUGAACUUAAACUAAAUUUCUAUUUUUUAACAUUGGGGAGGCCUCGAAAAUCGGCGGAGAGAUUUUUCAUUGGCCAAUUUAAACAAACAAAAUAUAUGAACUUAAACUUAAUAUCCAUCUUUUAACAUUGGGGAGGCCUCAAAAAUCGACGGAGAGAUUUUUCAUUGGCCAAUUUAAACAAACAAAAUAUAUGAACUUAAACUUAAUUUCCAUCUUUUAACAUUGGGGAAGCCUCGAGAAUCGACUGAGAGAUUUUUUCAUUGGCCAAUUUUAAUUAUUGAGUGUGAUAAAAUAUAAAAGACUAGUGAAAGAAAAAAAUAGAUAGCACAAACCCAGUGAAACAACAUAACAUCAAAACUACUAUAGAUCACUAAAAAUAAGAAAUUCCUUUUAUCAAUUCUAUAAAUACCCAAAAUCAUAUCUACUGUAUUAAGAAUAAAAGUAUAAACAACAAAAAUAAUAAUUAGAAAAAAUAAGAAAACAAAGCAGUAACAAGUGCUAACAAAACCAAAUAGCAAAAUAGAAAGAACCACACCAAUGAAGAUAUUUCUGUAUAGAAUACUUUAGAACGAAUGGAGCAAGCAACAAUGUCAAGGAAAAAAUCAACAAUCAAGUAGUAAAAGGUAGAGCAACCAAAAUAAUAAAUUAAAGUGAUUAUAAAAAUCAAUCCAAAAAUAGAAAAAUAAUAUAUAAAUAAAGUAACAAAUAACAAUUGGUCUAAGUAUGAUAGAAAAUUCCCAUAAGCGGAGCUUGCUGAUAUCUUUGAGUUAUUUUCGAGUAUAUCUGGAAAUGGGAUUUAGCUCGUUGGAGCUUGGAACAUUUUGGCGGUGUUGUGGUGUUGUCUGUCACCGGAGUUUGAUGCUCUGGUUCGGUGGAAUACCUGCUAAAUGGAGGAAAAAUCGUGAAAGGGGGAGAGGGAAAAAGCUGGUUUGUUUUUGUGUUUCUCUGGUUCAUCGGAGCUUUGAGCUUCUCGCCGGAGCUACUUGGUGCAGCGAACAAAAGGGAAAACGGGGAUGGGAUCUGAUUGAGCUGGUGGUUUUGUGAGCUUGAAGCUUGCUGGAAAAGGGUUUUGGGUGGUCUUGAGGUUGGCGCGAAAAAGUGAAGAGUGAAUGAGUUAGUCAGGUUUGGGGUGAUGGUUGCUGAAAAAAAUGGGGUCGUUUCUGGUGGGUGUUUCGUCGUUUCCAGUGGCGUUCCGACGAGGUUUCGCCAAAAAAUGGAGAAGAGGGAGUUGGAGAUGGUUUUGCUGUUGUUAAAUGGUUGUUUCCGGUGGCUUGUUGCUGUUUUCAGGAGGUGGUUGGUUUGUUGCUUCGACGGAAAAAGUGAAAAAUUGGAGAAGGGUUCUAGUUUGAGUGUGGUCUUUGUUUGCUGGAGAAAAUGGAAGAAAACAAAUGGGGUUUUGGUUGUGGACUCGCCAGAUUUCGGUGGAACUCCGGUGAGCUUGUCACCGAAAUAAUAAUAAUAAUGAAUAGUUGAAAAAUAUCUAAAAAAUACACCUGAAAUCUUAUCCACCAACCUUUAACCUAAUGAGCAAAUUAUUCUUUAAAUAGGGAAUUAAAAACUACCAAUAGUACAAUACCACUAUCUUAAAACUGUGGGCCAAAUCUUCGGUUAAUAAAAUAUUUGUGUAUGAAAUAUCAUCUAUAUCAGAAUAAAUUUCUGGAUUGUGCAAAAUAUCAAAAUGAAUACUAACAAAUGUAACAGAUAAAAUGAAUAUGAAAAAUGUAAUGAACGUAACGAAUGACAUAUAAAAAUACAAUUUAACAGAAAUAAUGAUUAUUUAUAAAAAAAUGAACAAAUAUUUGAACGUAUUCAACCGGCGUGAAAAAAUAAUAUAAACAGAAUUAACUGAUAAAAAUCCUAAUACUUUAAGAAUAAGGAUAAUUAUCAACAAAUUGCAUUAAAAUGGCAAAACAUGUAUUUUGAACUAUUUAAAAAAUAAAAUACUUAAAAAGUAUUAACUUUAGAAAUAUCAGACCAAAAUUUGGUGUCAACACCCGAAGCCGCCCUCUCCACCCCCCAACCACGAGGCUCUAUGCCCCGAGACNNNNNNNNNNNNNNNNNNNNNNNNNNNNNNNNNNNNNNNNNNNNNNNNNNNNNNNNNNNNNNNNNNNNNNNNNNNNNNNNNNNNNNNNNNNNNNNNNNNNNNNNNNNNNNCCCGACCUCGAGGCUCCGUUCCCCGAGGCCCUCCCCCCCUAGACCUCAAGGCUCAUUGCCCCGAGGCCCCCUGACCUCGAGGCUCCGUACCCCGAGGCCUCCCCCCGACCUCGAAAACUAAAUUUUUAAAAGAUUAAAAAUAGAAAAUCUAAUGAAAAAGGGUUCGGGGUUCAUGUUAAUGUUUUAGGAAGGUUUUGGAAGCACCUAAAACAUCCGCUAACUUGCGGUUAUCUGGCAAAUUAAAAUAUUUGGCUAAUUGUUUAAAAGAGACAUGCUUAAUUAGAUUAGAAAUAAACAAACUUAAGACUUGAAAUCAUUUUGUAAGGGGAAGGAAAACAGAUAAGGUAUAUUUACUAAGUAAAACAUAUUAAAUAUUCUAAAGAGGGUUAAGUAGAAAAUAGAUAAUCUUAUUUAAUUUUAGAAAAAAUAUAACUAUUAACCCAAAAUGGUUACUUUGGGGAAUCAAACUAGGGGGAAAAAAACCUCAAAAUCAAAUAAACAAAUAAACAAGUAUCGACAAUUAAAUAAUAAGGAAGAGAAGGCUUGGGCCCAAGUCUGGUUUUUGCCCGCCUGGGCCGAUACUUGGGCCUAAAUUCAACUCUGGGUUUUUGGCCCAUUUGUACCUGUCCAAAAGAACUAAAGUUCCCAAAAUAUGUGGGCUUUUGGCCUAAUUCCCUGUCCUAAAAUCUAACAAGGUAAUAAUCAAGAUAAAUGGGCUUUUGGCCCAAUAAUUACAAAAAUACAAAUCUAAAAUUUGAAGGCUCUUUCAUCCCAUUUUCAAUGCAAUAUACAGCGUAUACGGCUGAUGUAUAUUGAGCGUAUCCAGCCCUUUAACUUGCUCCGAACACCUGCAUUUCGAUCUUUAGCUUUGUACCCAACCUUCGGGGACCUGCUCAUCAGCAUCAUUAACUUGGAAUUGGGCUGACUAGAUAAAGGCAAAUUUGGACCUCUAUGGCCCAAUCGGAAUGAAAAGAGGACGGUUAUGGAGUUUAAAGAACUCGCCCAAAAUCACAUGAAAAUAGAAAGAAAAGGAUUAGCCUCAAUUCAUAAAGAUGAAACUUUUAAAGAAUCUAAGUUAAUCACUAGAAAAAGCAAGACAGAACAAUACACACUUCAACAACAACUAUAAGCUAUAUAACACAAAUUCUUACUCCCAGAUUCAAGGGAUAAUUAAAAAUGUUCUGUGAUCAAUUAAAAAAAAUGUUAUUACUUAAAUGAUAAUUAUUUUCUUAAUAUAGUAAAUUGAUGUAGGUUUCACAUUAGUAAAUGAAAAAGUUCCAAAAUAAUUACUUGGAUUUUGAAAGAAGAAAAGAAGGAAAAUCUUUUAAACGUCAAAGAACCCAAAAGGUAACAAUAUAUUUUUACCUUUUUAAUCUAUUUUUUGAAAAAAUGUUACUUUUUAUAUUUGGUAAUAUUUCAUUCUACUAUAUUUAAGAUCAUACAUUCAAAAUAUAUUUGAUCCAUUACAUAUUAUCUUAUAUUAAAGUUUAAAAUUUUAAGAUUAAAAAAAUUCUUAAUACAAUUUUUGAAAAAAAAGUCAAAUAUUCUUUGGAUUAUGCAAAAUUAAAUAAAAAUAUCUUAAAUUAAUAAUACGAAAAAAUAUAUUUUAAUCCUUUAAUAAAUUAUGAAUAUUUUUGUUCAAUUUCAUGUAGUUCAAUCAAUGACAUUUAUUAGAUUUGGAGAUCCAAAUCAGGGAAGCACAUACAUGCUGAAGGGAAAGCUUCAUUUUCUUCUUCCAAUUUUCGACAUCCCAACAAGAAAUUGAAAUGCAGAAAGUCAAAGAUUUCUAUUAGAAAAAUGUCUUAUAUUAUUCUUUUUUAUGAAAUAUUAUUAUAAAUUUCGUCAUUAUUAAAUGACUAUCAAUUUGAUUUUUAAAACAAUUUAGUGUCAUUUAACUUGAAAUAUAGAAUUCAAAGUUUGAAAAGUAAAUAUUAAAUUUUAUAAAAUUUUCCAAAUUCUACUCGUAUAGCCUUAACUUUAUUUUUAUAUCCAAACCCAAUUCCAGCUUAGAAAUAUAAUUUUUGAACUUGAAUUUUAAAUAUUUUUUAAAAUUACAAUUGAAUUAUAUUAUAAUAUUUAUUAGGUGUUUAAUAAGACAUGCCUUUGGAUUAGGAGCCUAAAUGAAAAGUUUUGGUAAAUAUGAGGGGUCACUUUUGAAUUUAGCCUUCCAAAUAUUCAUAUUACCCUCUUCGUCAUUUUUUACUUGUCAAUAUUUGACUUGAUAUACUUGUAUAGUGAGUUUUCAUUUUAUCCCUAUUAAUUGAUAGAGUUUUAAACAUAUUUACUCACUAUAUUUUUCAAAGAUAUUAACUCAAUAUUAAUAAAUUGGGGUAUAAUAGGAAGAAAAAAAAAUCGUCUUCCUUGAUUUAUCAAAAAUGACAAGUAAAAAGAGAAAUCAAAUUAGUAAAUAUUUGACAAGUAAAUAGAGACAGAGGAGUAGUUAUUUAUGAAAUAAAAAUAGUUGUCUCAAAUUAUUUUCUUUUUAAAGUUUUGUUUGUUUGAUAUUACAGAAAUUAAUUUUGAUUUUUUUCUUUUAGGCCAUUAGUAACAAAAUUUAUCCUUAAUUUUUUCUUAUUACUUUUAACACGCUAAGGAAAAAGCGAUUGAUUUUAUUUUUUUACAAUAGUUGGCUCCAAUGAAAUUACAACGAGCCUAAUAUGCUAUUCUAUAACACUAAUCCCCCCAAAAUAAAGAACAAACUGAUACUUUUCCAUUUGUGUUUGCCUUUUUCUUUUUGUUAUAAUUGUUAACUUAUAUGGUUCAGAGAAUUGUCUUUAUCUCUACACAAAGUUAGAAACAUAGUUAUUUCAAAAUUAUAGUUUUUUGAGAAGCCUCAUAAAAUUCAACUUUAUUGUGUUGCUGUCGUAAAAUUUCAUUCUUCGUUCCUCUCCUCUUGAUCAAGUUACUUCGUCCUAUUUCUAUAUCAUUUGAAGAAAUGAGAUAUAAUAAUAUCAAGUUGAUUGGAAUAAAGUAAAACAUUCAAAAUUAAAGUUGGAACUAAAUUUGUACUUUAUUUUAUUGAAAGUAUAGAUUUGUUAAGGAUUUAAUUCAUACCUAAUCAAAUAAAGUAUAAAUUUAAUUUCAAUUUAAAUCCUAGAAUAUUUUGUCUUAUUCUGCGAAACAAACGAUCCUCAGUUUGCCCUUUCAAGACCAAAGCCCAAACCACUUUAAGAGGUCGUUGGGUUUGAUACGUGAGAUUACGAUAAUAAUUUUAAAAUAAUAUUUAUACUUAAUUUUUUCAUAUUUUGUUUAAAAUAUUAGUUUAUUUCGAGAUUAUUUCAUCUGAUCAUAUAUAUUAAAAUGAUGGUACUAUCUCACAUAAAAAAUAGAAAACUUAUAAUUCCAUAAAAUAUAUCCUUACUUAUUUCAUCGUACGUACCAAAUAUACCUUAUCAUACUUUGCCUUUUUUCCUGAACAUUUAUUUUCCUCCAAUUAAUUUCCUUUUGGCAAUGAUCGAAGUUCCUUAAAUAACCAUUUUUUGUGUAAAAUAAGAAAGUAUUGGUGGAUGCGUUUUACAUAACAUAAUGCAAAACAAUCAUUUAGUUAAAAGGGAAAAUCUCCAAAAUUCAAAUAUAUUUUAUAAUGAUUUAGUUUCAAAGUUUGAAAUUAAAUUUUAAAAACCUUCCAAAAUUUUACUCAUAUAAUUUUAAUUUUAUUUCAUACACAAUUUUAUCUUUAAUUACUAUUUUAAACUUGAAUAAUAAUUUCUUUUAAAAAAAUUAAUUUGAUUAUAAUAUUUGUUAUUGUAAUUGUUUGAUAUGACAUGCCCUUAAAUAAGAAACCUGUGAAAAGUUUUGGCAAAUACGUGGCGUUAGCCAUGAAAAUCAAAUACUUCUUUCGUCUUAUUUGAUGUGACACUUUUUUUCUUCAGUUUGUUUCAAAAAACAUAUAUCACUUUAUUAUAAGUCGAAACAAUUUAACUUUAUAAUUAUUUUGUCCUUAAUAAGAUACUUUACAACCAUACAAAUAUAAAUUAUUUUAGACUAUAUGUUUUAAAAGUCAAAUUUUUUUCUAAAAUACCGUACAAAGUCAAACAAUACCAUAUAAAAUAGAACGAGGGUGUAUCCUUCCUUUAAAGUUGUUGUUUGUCCAAUUUUUUUCCUUGAAGGUAAUUUUUUUUUAGAAGAUAUGAUUUUGUACCUUUAAUUUUUAAUUUUUUAUAAACUACUCCCUCUAUUGUUAAUUGAAUUUAUGAGGCAAUACAUACAUAUUAAGAAAACAUAUUUAAGUAAAAUCAUAAAAAUAUAAAUUUAUAAGUAGUAUAAUAUAUCUCCUAAAAAAUAUAAAACUUUAAUAAAUGAAAAGAUAAAUAUAAAAGAAUAUCAAACAUUCAUCUUGAAUUUUGAAGAAUUUAAUUAUUAUUUUGAACAAUAAAAAUAUCUUAAAAAUUCAGUAAUAUAUAAAAUAAAGAGAGUAAUAAAAUUGAUAACUUAACUAAUUUACCUAAAAUAUACAAAUCAAAUUAUAUCUUUAAAAAAAGCAAUAUCUCAAAAUAAAAUAGAUUAGAUAGUAUACGAACGAUUAUAUAGUAAAUAAAUCUAAUUCAAAGCCCCAUAAGUCAAAGAGAAUGUGUCGGUUAACUUAAAGAGAUCUUCAACACUCUUACUGAAACACUUCUUUCUACAAAAAAAAAUUACUUCUUUUGUCUUCUUUUUUUCGCCUUUUUCGAAAUUUCUCAAGAAUAUCCAUUGUAAUUGCCAAAAGAAUUUGUUCAUAUAUUGUACUAAAAAAUUGGUGUAUAGUAUAGAGAAAAUCAUUGUUUUUUUUUUGUUUUCAAUUGAUGGGGUUUUGAGAUUUAGAAUGGACUUGAAGAAACUUCCAUUUUCUGAUUCUUCUCCAAGAAGAAAGGUAGUUGUUUCUGGCUUUGGUUUGGGUGUUGCUGCAUCUUUCAUUUUUGUUUGUAUUCUAUUGUUGAAUUAUUCAUUCAAAUCUCCAUUUGUAACCCCUGUUUUUACUGGUUUUAGUUACAGUGAUAAUAAUAAUAGUAAUAGUACCCUCAUUUCUUGGCCUUUCUCUUUCUCUAAUGCUAGUGUUAGUUUGAGUUCCAAAGCUUCACACAAUGUGGAAAAUGGAAACUUUAGUGUUCAAGAAACCAAGAAAAUUGAUGAAAGUGGAAUAUUUUCCAAUUUGGAGGAAAAGGGGGAAAUUUUAGGAAAUACCCAUGUCCUCAAUUUCUCUGAAAAGGUAAAAAAUCGAAGCUUUCUUGUUCAAGAAUCAGGAAUUGUCAAGAAAACCCAUGGGUCAGAAAUUGAUGGGAAUGGAACUGUUUUGGGUAUCCAAGAUUCCACCAAGUAUAAUGUGACCUCAACUUAUAUUGAGGAUGUUGUGGGAUCAAGUGGUGGUGAUAGGAAAAAAGUUGCAGUGGGUGAGGGUAAAGGGGGUUUAUCUGUGGAGAAGAAUGGUGUGUUGUUUCAAAGUGAUGGAGAAUCAUUGAUUAGACGUGACAAGGAUUUUUAUGGGGAUUGUGAUGUAUAUGAUGGUGAAUGGGUUAGAGAUGACACGAAGCCAUAUUAUCCUCCGGGUUCUUGCCCUAUUAUCGAUAGAGAUUUUGAUUGUCACCUUAAUAAGAGGCCAGAUGAUGAGUAUAUCAAGUGGAGAUGGCAGCCAUAUGCAUGUGACAUACCGAGGUACGAGUACUAAAGCUCCUAGUCACAAUAUUUGAAAUUUGACUAUGAAUUACAAUUUAGUCUUUGGUAACACCCUCAAUGCAUAAAGUGAUAUUACAAUGUUGACUUUUGGAUUGAACUUAAAGAACAAAUGUUGUGGAACUACCUUGUAAGACAGAACAUAGAAAUCUAUAUUCCGAUGCUACUCCAAAAAGUACGAUAUAUUUUCUAAUCAGUUGAUCCAGUAUGUUGCAAUUGGUUGUAAGUUUCUUAGGGUGUUAGUUUUUGACUAUAUCUUGUGUGAAGUUUGAGUGCACACCUAUGAAAUGCAAGCAGAUGCCUUUGUAAAAUGCUGUAAUGCCAGUCGUUUUAAAUGUGUUUCUUUACUGACAUUAUUCGCAUUGCCAAUGAAUUUUUUUUUAUUUACAUAGUCUAUGUUGCAUAUUUAGUUUAUAUUGGUCAAUUUAACUGAUUUACAUCUCACACACUAGCCUCAAUGCAACUGAUUUUCUGGAGAGGUUGAGAGGGCAAAAGCUUGUUUUUGUGGGGGACUCAUUGAAUAGGAACAUGUGGGAGUCCCUUGUUUGCAUUCUUCGCCACAGUAUUCGAGACAAAAAGCGAGUUUAUGAGAUAUCAGGAAGGCAUGAAUUCAAAAAGAAGGGCUUCUAUGCAUUCAGAUUUGAGGCAAGCUAUUUAAUCUCUUUCUUCUGUGACCUGAGAAUUGCUAAUUUCCUUGUUAUUUAUCAUGCUGUGACUUGGUUGCAGGAUUAUAACUGUUCUGUGGAUUUUGUUAGUUCCCCGUUUCUUGUCAGACAAUCAACUUUUAAAGGGAAAAAUGGUUCUUUCGAGACGCUAAGAUUAGAUUUGAUGGACAAGACGACUUCAAUGUAUAGUGAUGCUGAUAUUGUAAUUUUCAACACUGGUCAUUGGUGGACUCAUGAGAAAACCUCCAGAGGGUUAGCACUUUACUUCUUUCACUAAAAGCUGGAUCUUGCAUGUCAUUGUUAGUUGAAAUUUAUAAACUUGUGCUCCUGGUUGAUUAUAGGGAAGACUACUACCAGGAAGGUAAUCAUGUGCAUGGAAGGCUCAAGGUUUUAGAGGCAUACAAGAGAGCGAUUUCCACUUGGGCAAGGUGGGUGGAUCAGAACUUUGGUGGAAGCAGAACUCAAGUUAUUUUUAGAGGAUAUUCGGUCACACACUUCAGGUACAAUUCUUUGUUACAUGUUAAUUUAGCUACAACUCUAAUGGGGAUAUCAUGAUUCAGGAACUCUUCUCGUGACUUACAUGUUGUGUUUCUUUGGUAUUGAGGGUUUUCUUAAGGAAUCUCUUAUUAGGAAGUGAGAAUGAAUAAGUUAAAUUGUAAUCCUUUUCCCCAAGUGCCAGGGGCUGUAUACUUCACUGGCAUUUGGGGCUUGGAUUGAUCGAUGUGUCUCAGUUAUGAGCUGCUGCCAUGUAUUCGGUGGCAGAUCCAGAAUUUUUACUAAGAGGAUUUAACAUCUACUAUAUAUAUGAAACAAAGUAAUUUUAGUAAUUUUGACUUUGUAUAUACAUUGUAAUUUUCCAACAAAGAGGGUUCGGAUGAAACCCUUGUGCGCUAUUAACUAUGUAUUUAGUCCUUCAUUGACGGUACAUGUGAACAUUAGGGUGGAACUAGGGAAGUUGCCAGGCUACUGGUCAGCACAAUAUUCGCCAUAUAUGAAGGACGAAAAUGCUGUGUAGCAUUUAACAGAACCACCUUAAGUUCGGAGGCUAAAGACUAGUAUCAAUGUGAACUUUAGCAAAGAACAGAAUUCCAUGCAAGCUAAGGAUCCAUAUAAGGCGAUACUAGCUAGUUCUCGUUGGGAUAAAUAUGUGGCUGUUUUAGAUUUUGUUCUUUGCACGGGUCUUUGUAGUUUGGGUAGUGAUUUGUAUGUAUAAGUGUGAGAUUUAAAGAACCUUUAGUCUUGGAUUAUCAUAUAAAUAGGAAAAUAUAGUAAUUUUACUGCUAAUUAGUUGUAGCAUUGUAGGUUAAUCAUUAGUUGAAUGUUCAGGUUAUCUAGUUCUAUGGCGUAAGACUGUAAAUUUGGAAGAUGUAACUGCAGUGACCAAUCUAUGGGAUCUCCCAAUCAUUUUCAGAUAUAACAUGGAUCGUAUACAACUAUGGUACAGCGUAGCUCCUACUUUAUGUUCAGACAUAAACUUAAUACACAAAACUCAUUUGAAUGACAGGCGUGCCUUUUGGGCGGAAUGAAAACCUCUGGGAAGGUUAUCUCUAAAAAUGAAUGUACUCCUGUUGUCUGGUAGGCUUGUUGUGUGGAUGUAUAAGGUAUAUGCUGUUUAGUGAGAUGGUCAAGUUGGUUGCUCACUGCAAACUUGCUGUCCUUUAAAUACAAUCUGUUAACCAAGUGUUCACGCAACCUGAUCAAUAUACAGAAGAGUAAUCACUUUAAUUAUCAACUAGUUGUGAUAUAUGUUGAUUCCUUCAAAAGUAGAUAAGCUAUCACAUUUUUUGGAAAUUCUUUUAUUUCAUUACAUGUACUCUGUGAUAGUGUUGUCUCGUAGAGAUACUAGCAAUGCUAUGGUUUAUGUUAAAAUAAUCUUGCGUUUUGAUCAUCCCUGUUAGUAAAUUUGUCUCUUGCUCCUUUGGGCGCUAUUGAGGAACGGCAAUCAAACUUAUCUUUUUAUGAAGGGGAGGUCCAUGGAACUCAGGCGGGCAGUGCCAUAAAGAAACCGAACCAAUAUUCAAGAAGGCUUAUUUGGCAAAAUACCCUUCAAAGAUGAAAGUCCUACAUCACGUCCUUCAUAACAUGACGACCCCUGUCAUUUAUAUGAACAUUAGUAGGCUUACAGACUACCGGAAAGAUGGUCACCCGUCGAUAUACAGAAAGGAGUACAAGACAGUAGAAAAACAAAUGGCUGGAGUACACUCUCAGGAUUGUAGUCAUUGGUGCCUACCAGGUGUACCGGACACUUGGAACGAGUUGUUAUAUGCAUCUCUCCUGAAAAGCAGAAAAGGCUCUUGGAAGAACUGAACUUGAACUAGACUUUUUCUUUUUGGUCAUUCUUUUGUGUUUUUUGGUACUUGUCAAUAUAAAAAAAAAUACGGUAGCGAUAUGGAGAUUCUUGUGUAUUAGAUCAGUCUUGGAGUUGGGUGGAAGUUGAUCUGUAAAAUUUGUACAACCUUUGCUAUUGAGGAAAGUAAAAAAAUGAUAAAGCUUCCUGAUUUUACAAUACCAUCUUUUCUGUGAUAUUGGACAAUAUGGAGUAUAGUGUGCUGCUAUUACAUUGAUGUGUUUAUAGGUCUCCAAAUGAAGUACUAAAUCCAGAGGUGUACGUAGAUUUUAUCCCUAUCUUGGUGGGGUGUAGAGAGGUUGUUUCUGAUAGAUCCUCGACUCUAGAAAAAUGUUUUCUAGAACACACUUGCUAGACCUUUUCCAAGUUUGAUCAUUGAGCAACUCCUGUUCCCUAAUUCCUACAUAUUUAUGUAGCUUUAGCAUAUCUUGUUCUUCAAAUUCUGAUUAACUCUGAACAGAUAUCUCAUUACCACUCUGUUUGGACGGUUGGUACAUACUAUUUCAUAAUUUGUAUUGUAGUCUGGUGUACUAUAUCGCAUCACUUUAAUGAAUACAAUAUUUGGAUAGAUUGUAUCGUUCUCUGUUGUUACAUAAUGCUGCGCUUCAACAAUUUGAAAUAUGAACCUACAAGAAAAAUAGGGUACAUGGUAGAGCUACUAUUAUAAAGUAGGGUAAUGAUAAAAUAAGAUUAUUAAACAAUAAGUAAGACAAAAUUAGAAGAGAGUAUUAAGGUAAUGACGCGAUCACACAAAUCGGUUGUUACACAAAAAUGAGACUUUUUUUCAUUAUCUAACGAUGAAUUUAAACGAUGCGAUACAAUACAAUAAAAUUUAAGUAACAAUCAAAACAUAAACACAAUAUAUAAACUAACAAUACAGCACAACAAGUAACAACGAGAAAAUGAUCAAAAUGGUCCUUGAUGUAUUGGGGUUGCUUUAUUUUGGCCCUCAAUAUAUUCUAGGUGAUUGAAAUAGUCCUUCAUGUAUGACAAAAUGUGUUCAAUUUAGUCUUUUACCCUAAACUUAACAUUUUACCCCCAAAACUGUUAAANNNNNNNNNNNNNNNNNNNNNNNNNNNNNNNNNNNNNNNNNNNNNNNNNNNNNNNNNNNNNNNNNNNNNNNNNNNNNNNNNNNNNNNNNNNNNNNNNNNNNNNNNNNNNNNNNNNNNNNNNNNNNNNNNNNNNNNNNNNNNNNNNNNNNNNNNNNNNNNNNNNNNNNNNNNNNNNNNNNNNNNNNNNNNNNNNNNNNNNNNNNNNNNNNNNNNNNNNNNNNNNNNNNNNNNNNNNNNNNNNNNNNNNNNNNNNNNNNNNNNNNNNNNNNNNNNNNNNNNNNNNNNNNNNNNNNNNNNNNNNNNNNNNNNNNNNNNNNNNNNNNNNNNNNNNNNNNNNNNNNNNNNNNNNNNNNNNNNNNNNNNNNNNNNNNNNNNNNNNNNNNNNNNNNNNNNNNNNNNNNNNNNNNNNNNNNNNNNNNNNNNNNNNNNNNNNNNNNNNNNNNNNNNNNNNNNNNNNNNNNNNNNNNNNNNNNNNNNNNNNNNNNNNNNNNNNNNNNNNNNNNNNNNNNNNNNNNNNNNNNNNNNNNNNNNNNNNNNNNNNNNNNNNNNNNNNNNNNNNNNNNNNNNNNNNNNNUCAUGUAUGACAAAAUGUGUUCAAUUUAGUCUUUUACCCUAAACUUAACAUUUUAUCCCCAAAAACUGUUAAAUAUAACGGUGGCGUCAUACAUGAAGGACUAUUUCAAUCACCUAGAAUAUAUUGAAGACCAAAAUAAAGCAAUACCAAUACAUCAAGGACCAUUUUGAUCAUUUUCUCAAGUAACAACCAUCCAAACAUGAUAUUCAAGUUAUGAUCAUACAAGUGGAUUUUAAUGUACACAUAUGAAUUGAGAUUUUAAAGUUUAUGAGUUUUUACAUCACUUUCAUAUUAAUAUAUAAUAACACUUGUAGUGGACUUACUAGGAAAAAGACAUCCCUAGGGUGCCUUUUCUUAAAGAAAAAAAUCACUAUAUUUUUAUCUCUACUAAAUUUAAAAUUUCAUUUCACGAUUCUCCUUUCAUUUCACUUCAUUAAUUACUAGACCACGUUCCGAGGGUGCACAAACACAAUAUAUAUUCCAACAUAGGACUAGAGAAGGAAUGUACAGCAAUCUUACCAAAAUCCAUUAGAAUCAAUUAGAACAUACACACUUGCAUGUGACACCUUACAAAUAAAACACAAAUAUUACACAAGAGUGGAUAAUAUAAUAAUAUAUUUAUAGGGUACAACAUUAAGUUGAAAGCCAAGAAAGACUCCAAAACGGAGUCCAUAAUUGCCGUUUUGUGACUUGCCGGUUUGCCAUCCUUUUGCCAACAUCCUUUGCUAUUUUUAUCAUCAUAUAUCCACACAGAAUUUGGCUCAAGUAUGAGCAAACUUGAAAUUGUAUAUGGAGCAGUUAUGUUGCUCAGACUCUCCAAAAAUGUUGUCAAUAUCGCAUUGAUUUUGAAGAAUCCAACAUGCAUCUAUCGACAUUUUUGAACAAAUCCGAGCAACAUAAUAGAGGAGGGCAUUUAAAAGUCCUCCUUCACUCCAACUUGCCUAUCUUUUCUUAAGACCCAUGGAUUGCUUCAUCCCACUGCAUUUUUUUUCUCACUUAAUAAUCUAUAAGUUUCAAGAAGGGUACUCUUGAAACUAAAUAGCGUUAUUUGCUUUAAUUCUAUCCAAUAGGCUGUUGAGACAAAGCUAGUGGUAAGUUAGCCAAUAGAUUGUGGCCUUAAAUAGAAGAACUCAACAAAUCAUUACAUCAUAAACCACUACUAUAUAUUACGCUUUACCUUUUUCUUUUUCAUUAUUGCACCCCACACAAAUCUCUUUAGAUUUCACCAUGAAGUGUUAGUGGUUCACAAAAG